UUUUUUUUUUUUUUUUUUUUUUUGUGUGGAGCCUAGCUCCAAGAAAAGAGUACUUUUUUUGAGGAACUAACCAUCCAUGGUAAGGGACAAGAAUAGAUGAAUGCAGGAUGUGUCCCACAAAACCGUUUAACGUUGGGUUGUUGGAAAAACUCCCAUGCCCGCUGCAGUUCCAAGAAAUUGGAGAUUUGAUUUAAUUAUCGCAGACCAAAACAAAGAAAAGAAAAGAAAAGGAAAAAUGGUGGUGAUCAACUGGUGGGUGAAGAGAUUGCAGUAGUUACCAAUCAUGGCCAAGAACAAAGAUUGCCCAAAACAUUGUUCCCUGAGCAGCCCAAUAAACUGGCCAAACCAUCCAAUUGUCGAAGUGAAGUGCCAGUGCUAUUAAUCCAACCACUACAACAAGGUCUCGAGCAACAUAACUCAGAGACCUCCAUGGAUUCUUUACCCAGCAAUGCUCAGGAAUGGCCGCUCGAAUGUCAGCAAUCUUAAAAGGAGGCGGUGCGCUUGGAUCAAAAUCAACUUCAUCCAUGUCUUUGCUAAUGAUACCGCUGCUGCUGUUCACCGGUCUCUCUGUCUCCUCGCACUCUCCCACCAAUGCCCUACCAGGUUUAGUAUUUUCAACUUGGCCCUUCUUGUCUGCCGAAAGCGGCGAAAGGGAGUGACCCAAAUCUGUAAAAAGGUCGGUGAGCAAGAAAACCAACUUGAGAAGCAAAAAAGAGAUUCUUGAAAGGGAAUCAACCACUUUCUGCUCAAGUAUGAAUCUUGAUUUUUUUUUUUUUUUUUUUAAAAAGGGUUCAAAUAUUUUAGACUCUAGCACGACUACCAAGGGGGGGUGGGUUGGGGUGGGGAUGGCAUUCUGACUUUGCCGUACAUGCUGUGGAUCUUAUGCACAGAGAGCAUCGGCAACAGCAAAUGCCAGUUGGGUUCAUUUUCAAGUGUGAGGAACUUGCUGCAACAAAUAUAUGUUAGUCAUUACUCGUACUAUUGUCUGUCGCCCAAAAAUUUAAAGGCAUUUUCACGCGGGUAUCUCCAAGUAUAAAAUACUAGUAUAUGGUAGAGCAUCUCGUUUCGCAGGACCUUACUUCUCCUUUUUCUAGGUUUGUACAUAUCAUUUUUUUUUUUUGGGGAUUUGAUUUUACUAAAUCUCUUAAUGAACAGAGAUUCUUUAUACAUUAGCUAGCUACCUACGACAUGUAUUCUAUUCCAAUGCACUAGCACUAUUACAGUAGUAUUACUAUUCACUACUGCUGGUGGGAUUACCGCAUAAUAAUCUCAAAGCAUCCCCUCCCCUAUUUCGCCCAAGUUGUUUUGGAACCGAAUCUGAAUAGUGGACGGAGAGACAAUAAUAUGUGACAAGGGGGCAGAUCGUUUUCAGUCCGUUGUUGGAUUCUGAUUUAUACAAAAUUAAUUAAACUUGUAGUACUGCUUGUGGUUGAAUUUGUAAGUUUUUUUGGGGCCAUGAUGCUAGGAAGACUGAAAGAGCACAGCAAAGUACGCUCACGCACUUAGCACCGAAAACUGAAGUUUGUUACAUCCUAUCCUAUAGUGUGAGCGCAUAUAAUUUUAGCGGACUCCAAUCUCCCAUGUUGACAGAAAGCGAAAGGUGCAAUAUGGUGGUGCCCCAUGCAAAAGACAUGGGGGAAAAAGGAAAAUUCUCUUACGAAAGGCAGUUUUUUUCUGUUACAAUGAUGAAGAAUUCCACUUUCUGGACAGACUCAGCACAUAAACAUAUUGGAAUCUUAAUUUUAGAAAGUAAUAGUACAUAAAAUGGAAACAGGACAGGUACAAUUAACCUUAAUUUUGUUAUGAUUUGCUGUACAUUCACGUAACUUACUUUGUUUUAUUUUAUGGUUUGAGUACAAUAAAGUUAUUUAAAUGCACAACAAAUUAUGAAAAAUGUACGACAAGCUUAUCAAUUGUACCUAAGAUCAACGAUACCUGUUCAAAUCAUCAAAUCAACCAUGGUUAACCAUAUGCUUGAAAUAUAGAAAUCCUCCACCGAAUUUAACAGGAAAGACGGAGAGAAAAAGCUAAGGAGAAUUCUAGAAUAAUAUGCUUCUUACCAGAUUGGAAAUAUUUCUUAAGAAACACGGAGAGAUCGAUGUGCUCUUUGUUCAUCACAAACCAUUCAUGAUUUUAGGCAACUUUUCGCGGAAAUAGAAAGUUAGAGAGCUAAGCAUAUGCAUGACAUGAAUGUGGUUGGUUGAUAUUUUACCUUGACACAUGUCGGCGGAAGAGAGCACCAGCCGCUGAGGGUCAAGGAGAAGGGGGAAGAGGGAGGGAGAUUGAACGCUUAUUCCUGGAUCAGCCAAGCCGGAGAAGGACAAACGAAUUUGUGUCUGUUUCUCGGGGUGUCAGCCAUGCAGGGAUCCUCAAAUUUAUAAGGCCAAAAAAGUAUCGAUGGCCCUCGGAAUAAAAACGGUAAGAGCAUUAUACACGCCAGGAAUGUGUGAAAUUUGCUUUGCAGCUAUACGCUAGUGACAUGGACGAUGUGUGCCCGUCGAACUCGGCCCUCCGUGUUGUCUCUCGUGGGGUUGUGCUUCUCCAGCCACUCCCACCAUCGGUUUACUUCUACAAUUUGGGUACUCUCUCUCCAUUUCCUUUUUGGGAAAUUUCCGAACGAUUUUUGCCUUUCCCCCCUCUCUACCCCUCUCUCUCUAUAACGCAUUUUUUUUUUUUUGGUAACAAGUUUGCUCCCGGAUGGAUUAUCGACCUUAAUUGUGAACACUAAAUUCCACAUUGCAAGGGAUAUGAAAAUACUCCCAUCCAAUCUCUACUUUUGUUUGUAUCCCUAUUCAUAUUCUUACUAAGUCAGCUUCGAAAUUAAUACCAGUGGUGUUUCCGGGCGGCGCUGGAUUUCUUUUAGAAAUUAAUACCAGUGGUAUUCAAAGAUUUCAAUGUUUAUUCUCCCCUAAAACAGUACUAGUAUUUUUAUUUAUUUAUUUCUUGGUUCUGAAUCAAAAUUUUAAUUUUAUGUGUUGUUGUGCUCGUGCUGGUGGAGCUCCGCGACAAGGACCCGAAUCAAUAGUUGUUAAACUCAAGCUGGAUUUUCUUUUCUUUUUUUUUUUAAAAAAAAUUUCCUUGGUUAUGCGCGUAUCUCAUUUUCUUCAAUUUAAACAUGCUACAAUGAACUGUACACAAAUAUGGGCCUUUGAAGCGACGGCCGGACUGAAGCCAUUAGGUCAAAAUUGCGUACUAGAGUUAACUACUAGUAUUAGAACAGUGUGCUAACUGGAAAAUUUUAGUUUGAGGGGGUGAAAUACACACACAUAUAUGCAUAUAUAUAUAUAUUAUAUAUAUUAUAUAAUAUAUAUAUAUUUGGAGUCUAACAUAAAUUUUUUUUGAAAAGUUUUGGAGACAAAUAGCUCAAUAUGUAUUUUGAAAAUUCUCAAACUUUUAAGAACUUUGAAAAUUUUCAAAAUUUGAUAGAGACAAAGGAUGAAUUUUCAGAAUUUGACAGGAUAAGUACGAUAAGUAUUACGAUUUUUAAAGAUAUUAUGAACUAGCCCACAAAAAUAUGGCAGAUAAAACUCACAUAUAAUAAAAUUUCAACCCACAAUCCUACACAUAGUGCUCUCACUAUUAACAUUUCAUGAAUUAUAAGUCUUGAAUUCAAGUGUUCGUAUAUGUUAAUUUUUUCUCCCGCUAUUUGUGAAUCAAUUUAUAUUAAUUAAUUAAAUUUCUUCUACAUUUAUACGUAAUAAACGCGAGAUCGACGCCGAAUUUAAUUUAGAAUUGGGAAGCGGCAGUCUGGCGGAGAGGAUCUCAACUUUGUGGUCCACAAGACAAGGGCGGGCCUCAAAGGUUCAGCCACGCAUUUCGCUCUCGGGCUUUUACAGCUUAGGAAAUUGCGUAGGCGUUCUGACUUGUGUGAGGUGGGUUUGUCAGUAGUUUCAAGUUGAGCGUUAAGAGCCACGUCUCACGAAGCGAGAAGAGCCAGAUUUCAUAAUUCGAAGUACGAUUUCAUAAUUCAGUCACAAUGCAUACAUUAUUAUUAGCUUAAAAUAAAUAUUAUAUUAUUUUAAAGAUGAAUUUCAAUUUUAAAUUUUACAUAUAUGAUAGAUGUGUAUCCAAAUUCGCUGAAAAAAUUAACCUUAAAGUUUGAAAAAUUAACCAUAACGUUUAUGAUUCAUUUUCUACGGGGUAAUUGCAAGUUUGUAUUUAAAAAAAUAGGAAAACAUUUUACAUUCAUUAAACUAGGGGGGUAAUCUUGAUCAAAAAACAGUUUUUUUUUUUUUUAGAUGAAAACAAAUUUCAUUGAUAGAUUGUUGGAAAUCAUGCAGCAAUAAAAUAAGGAAAAAAAAACACAAAAUCUCUGUAGAAAUCCCUAGAAAAACAGAAAUUUCUCACUAAAAAUCUCUAGGAAAAACAACCAAAAACUCUCACCAAAAAAAAAAAAGAAUUUCGUAAUUAAUAUGCGGGCAAGGUGAUUUAGUCGCAAUUACUCUUUGCGUAGACAAAAAAAAAAAAAAAAAAGGGCAAUUUAUGGCACGAUAUCAAUUGCACAACUGUAAUUGGUUUACUGGUCUAAAAAAUCAUACAACGGACAAUUAAAGUAAAAUAUUGAAAGCUAUUUAAAAAAGAGAGAGAAGAAGAAGAAAAAGUGAUACUUGAUUUAUAUUUAUUUCUGAAAAUUUAAUGCCCUUCUUAAUUUGCCAAACAAAACAGAAAAGAUCACCACCUCUCGUCUAACAUGAGCACAAGUUCAAUUAAUUCUCUUCUGAUGCCAAUAAAGUGUGGAAUGGUACCUUCAAUCCCACAAGGCUCAAAUUAGAUAUUUAAUACUCCAUACAGCAAAUAUAAUUUACGUUGCAGAAGAGAAACUCAAUUGGUUCAACGUAAUGGCUGCUCCAGAAGCAAAUAUCAAAAGUCUAUGAUCCCAAAAUCAAACGCUUUGACAUUUGUUUUAGGACCAUUUCCAAUUGCUAACGACGUUAUAAGACUGUUUCCCAAGUUUUAACCCGCCGUUGAAAUGGAAUUCUGGGGUAAUUCUUAACUCCAGUCAAUAGACAAAUUUGAGUUGAUCCUACUCGACAAUUUCUUCACAAGUCUUAGAAAGUGCGAAAUCCCAUACUAUCUAGACUUAGUUCCGAUGAUUUACCAAAAAAAAAAAAAAAUUCUAAACAACCUUCAGUCCAACAACCUCGAUGAUCAUGACUCCUUUGUAUCUUCUUCUUUGUAAAAAAAAUCAUGCGAUUGUAUCAUAAAUAUUUUUGAAUUAAUUUUUUACAUACGGAUAAUAUAUACGCUGUUGGUGUUCGAUGAAUAAUAACCAUACAAAAUUUAAAUUUGAAAUUUAACUUUUGCACACGUAUCAUGAAUUCAACAAUGAUAAUAUAUACACUGUAAGCGUAUAUAAAGUCUACUCAAUAAUUUCUAAUCACUAUUUUAUUAUUUCAACCACUUUAUCAUAUCACAUAAAUAUCACGUCACAAAAAUAUUAUAUAGUAUUAUUUUAAAAGUUUUUUUUUUCUAAAUAAUCCCCUAUGCGCGCGCGCACACACAUUCCACGGUCGAAAUAUGAAUAGUAAUUGCAGAAGCAGCAAAUUGUGCGGAAUCAGCCCAGAAUGAGGAUUGGAAAGCCAAAUGAAAAAUGUUUAAGCAUCCCCUUUGUACGGUAGCCCCAAGGCUCAUACGGUUCUAAUUCUAAAAUACGCUCCGGGAAGAAAGGGGAAGGAGAAAGAGGGUGGACACAAUAAAUUCAAUUCAAUGGUUGAGUGGAGCCAAUAUGAAUUAGGUGGUUGGUCCAAUUAAUACAAGUAAUGAGGAAACUGAUUUGUACUGGAGACGAUGUAUUAUAAUAAAACCUUUGGAGCAUUUACUGGGAGAUGGAUCGCAAAUCGACGGCCGCAAUCAGCCUUUAAUUAGCUGUACGGGGAUCGGCUUAAAACCUUAAAUGUUUGGUUCCCAUGAAAAAGUGCAGGACAGGACAGUGUGUCGUUAAUGUUGUUUGUCCUACCAUCAUUUUGUGAGUGAAGUCACACCGAAGUACCGUCCUUGUGAUGCACUGUAUCUUGCGGGUUACUAUAUAGUACAUCCGCUUGAAUUUCACUUUUUUUUUUUUUUUUUUUCCAUUCUAAAUCCGCACCUUCAAUACAUUGGUUACUUAUACAAUUAGCAUUGAAAGUACGUUGUAUGGAUCUAACCGCUACCCUAAUAUUAAGUUGUGUUUUACUGCUCAGUUAACCCGAUUUCUUAUAAUAGUACAUGAUUUGAUUAAAAACUCGAUGAACCUCGAGUCUAGAUUUUACUUGAUUAUUCACCAAGUAAUCAGGAGCUUCUGUUGAGUUGAAUUUGUUUAAAACCCACAAGUAUAUAAUAAAUUUUUUCAACUUUAUAGUUUCGAAAGAGAUAAUGAGUAAAUACUGCAUAAAAAAGCUUGACACCAAAAUAAAUCCUUAGAAUAAUUUAAUUGUUGAGAAACGACAUGGUAAAUGCAUAUAAGAAGUUCAUGGCCUUGAACGUUGUAGUUCAUGAUGGAAAAGAAAUUUGUUCCAGUAGUAUUCGAGUAUGCUUAGCUUAAUAACUCUUUGAAUCAGUUUAAAUUUUACAAAAUUAGCAUGCGUUUGUACCUUGUGCAAACACACGCACAUUAUUAUUGUUUAUUAAUAUACUUGGACUUCACCUAACAAGUGCUCCUGAGUACUCACACCAGACAAGUAGCAGCAAUGUUUCUCAACCAAAAAAAAAUAUAUAUAUAUAUAUAUAUAUAGUGAAUCAUGCAGUUGACCGGUUUUUAAGUCUAGAUCCACAUUAUAAAAAAAUAAAAAAGGGUCUAGAUCCACUGAACUAUACAAAUCAGAGACAAUUAAAUAUGAAAUAUCAUAUUUAACAAUUACAUAUUAUAUAGAAUCAUGUUUCAGAUGGUUUAACACUCCCAAACUAGUAAUGAAUCAUGCUCUUCUUCCUUUCCCUGCCGAAUAGGUCGACCGAGAAAAAAAAAGAAGAAAAAAUAUAUUCGAAGACAUGAUUCGCAACUCAUCAACCCUCGUCGUCUUCUGCAGAAACCCUUCUCCUUCACUCCCUUCUUGCUUUUAUCUCUGACAUCAUCUCGACAGCGACAGAGGCCGGAUUCGAAAUCGACAUGGUGGCCUGCUUACAUCGUGCACAAAGGCAACGACUAUUUGCUGCUGGCAUUGUGCACCAACAACCUUGACUCUUGAGGGCGAAUAAUCUCAACCACCAUACCUUCAAAUGCUACUAGACCUGCCAUAAUCCAUUAACUGUGCAACUACCCUAGUUUAUCCCCAACAUCAUACAUACAAAAUUCAGUCUCUCUAUUUUGCUAUAAAUUUGCUUCUAUCACUACACAACUGUUUAAAGAAUAUGUAAGAUGAUUUGUUCUUUUCCAUUUUUUUGAAAACCGGUGUGUGUGUGUAGGAACGAAAGAUAAUGGUGGAAAUUUGCAAUUAGCAUCUGACUCCUAACAGCUAUCUUUGUCCCCGGCUUUGACUAGAUGGCUGUCCACUAACCCCUGAUAUUUGUUUUAAGCUGGUGAGGGCAUCCUGAGCAUGGCUUUUUGUCAUAACGCUUCCAUAUUUAAAGGCCUCCACCAGGGCCCUAACAAGAGACUGAUUGAGAGAUUGGCGGUUGGCGAAGCUAUCCGCUCUCAACAUCUUAUCCACCAUACCAAUGGCCUUUUCCUGAAGCUCCCCUGGCCGCGAUUCUGUGAAGAGAACCACGACUGCAUUAGCCAUGCCAAGGCUUUCAAGCUCCCCCAUAGCACGCUUUAAACCGGCGGGGUUCUCCUGCAACAAGGUUGAAAGUGCUUCUAAUGCAGCAACUUGGACAGUCGUAUCUCUGUCUGAGAGUGCAUCAACCAAAGGCUUGAUGCAAUUGCUCUUGAGUAGACAAAGUUGGCUACCUUCUUCGCAUGGGGUGGCAUGAAUAGGACACAAAGAGUGUGCUGGAAGGGCCCUAGUACAUAUGAAGAAGGAAGAGCAGAAUCCUUGGGGAGGACUCGGGUCAAAGUCACCAGCAGCAGCGAGGGACAUUCCAGAUUCUGACAAGUAUUUCAAACCCAGGGCAGCUAGUUGUUUCAUCCUCACUGUUGAUGCGAAAACCAGUUGGUCACGGAAAAUGGUCAUAACUUGAUGCUCUUUGACUACACCAAGACAUUGUGGAUCAGAGCUCCUACAGAAGUGCAGUAAUAAGCCAAGGAGUCCUCCUGCCAUGGUGGAAUUGGACCUCGAACUUCUUCCAUUUGUACUGCAAUGCUGGCCCUUUAAAGUGGAAACGAUCCACUUAAUGAAACCAGUUCCUAACAUAGUUUUCACUUCAUUUUCUGAGAGGCUAAGAUUGGCAAGAAUGCAGGCAGCAUCAGAUCGCUCACCAUCUCUGGAUUGACUGUCAAGUACCUUGUCUUUGAGCAUGACAAACUUGUUGGAAGUUCUAAGUGCACUGGCAAGCUCUUCACCAAACCUCUCAGAGAGGACCCUUGUAAGCCUCAAAGCAUAAUUCCGGUGUUCAAUUUCUGGGCGCUCAAGAAAUGUGAUAAUUGUUUUGAUACCAUCUCCAGAUCUUAUGAGAGUAGUGACAGAUUCUGCAGAAAAGACAGUAACACCCAAUUGUCAUUAGUGACGCAGGAGUGUCAUUAGCCCAGGAUGCUCUGAGGAUGAGUUCUGUUUCACCAUUAAGCAAGUUCUAGAAAACUAGUUGUGUUAGUUAAUGAAAACAUCAUUUAAGGCUAUUUUUCUUACACUAAUACAGGAAGGGUGUACUAAUAUCCAACUGCUUCCAAGCAUCUCGGAAAGUUUGGAUCAGAUUGUUUUCAAACCCCAUAAUAUUGCUGUAUUCCAGUUACUAGGGAUUACAUUUUAAUUCUUUCUUUUUGAUUUCAUGUAAAGCAUUAAUUUCUCUUUCCUCUAAUCCAACUCCAAAGGGAAUGGUAACUUAUUUUUUCUGCAAAAGAGUGUAAAGGUUAUAUUGAUAUGACAAAAGUUACCUGAUGCUUGGGGUGAGGAUGCAAUACGAUAUAGAAUUUGGAGAACAGAUAGUUGGCAUGGAGGUGAUGCAAGUAAAAGAAGCCCCAGAAAACUAGAAAUAAUUGAUUCUGACUGCAGUGGAUGCCCUGCCUUGUCAGCAGAAGCUAAUUCCCAAUGUCCAGGGCUCAUCACAAUAUUUGCAAUAAUCGAUGCAGCUAAUGCCUUCAAUGCUAAGGAUACAACUUGAUUCUCAAAAAGAAUUUCUGUUAGAGCUGGAAGCACCGCAGAAUCAGUAAGGAUUGUAGCAUUUUCAGCAAAGCAUGAAAUGUUAUACAAAGCUUGCAGACUUGCUGCUCUUCCAUCCAGGUUUGAUAGCAGUUCAACUAAACUUCUAGCACCCUGACAAGCAAUUUGUUCCUUACUGCUAUUUGUCAAGGUCAUUCUCCCCACUACAGAUGCCAUCUCUAUUUUGACAUCAUCAGGACCUGUUCAAUGGAACAUUGAGAGUCAAUGAAAAAAAGUUUUCCUUCCUUUCGUAUGGAAGUGUUCAUAGGAAUAUAGAGUAUACGUUUCGGAUAUGAUCAUUGGUGUCAAGUAGUUGAACAUAAACAUUAAAGCAUAAGAAACUUAAACAGAAAUAUUAGAAAGAAACCUCUAAUCAUGCCCUUCAUCUAUUCAAUUAUUUUGUUGGAGCCCUGUUCUUAGUUUUAUUUGUAUGAUUUCAAAGCAAAUUCUGUUUUAUUAAGUAAACAGGUAAUUAUGUGAAUAAAUCUUCUGACCUCCGGGUGUACAUGCCAAUGAAUCAUCAGACCUCUGAUGCAUUUUUUUUCCCCAUUUUCUCAAAUUUACAAGAAUACAGUUACAGAAAAAAGUAUAAUGCAUGUCGCAAAACAGUAAUAAAUGGUGAGAAUAUAACUAGUAAGCAUUCACACUGACAAUAUACUUUGGAUCCUUGAUUAUAUUUAAAUUAUUUGUGCUAGAUCACCAGAAGGGAAAAUGAAAGAGUUUCAGGGGCAGGACUGCUUGUAAUGUUGGAUGUGCUGAAACAUCUACAAUAAACAAUUUUUCAAUGUCCGAGUUUCUGGGAAUCUGGACGCCCCAAAGAAAUUUUAGUAACUAUAAAAGCCUGAGAACUAAGCUUUGAAGAUGAAACUUCUCUUAUCUGCAAACAUGUGAAUUAUAUAAUCAAGCAGCCAUAGUUCUUAACCGAGUAUCCUUGUCAAUUUAUCCCUAAUGUUUCAGCACUACAAUAGAAUACGUACCUUCGCAUAACCGUUUCAUUAAAGGUUCAAAUCUUCCAGCCACUGCUAAAUGCUCAACAUUCUGCUCCACCUUCUCUAUGCGCUUCAGGACCUCCUCAGCUAAAUGAGAUAAAGAACGAUUUUCCAGAUUAUCUGCCAUACAUGAAAGAAGAACUAACGCCCCCUUUUCUGAAGCAAUUUUGAUGCAGAAAUCUUCAUCACUUGAGAAGUCAAGUAAUAGCCUCACUGCAAAUUCUCUCUCUUUCUCUGAGCUCCCAAUCAGACCAUGUAUAGCCGACCUAGUAAUCCCCUCUGCAAGCAUUAUCACCUGGAAAAUGGUGUGAAGAGGAAGAACACAAAGGGUCGUAAUGUCAAGAUAGUGCACAAGAUUUCAUAUAUUACUAAUUUUAGAAGCUAUAUUUUACUAUACUUUCACAGCUAAACAAAAGGAAUAAAGAAUUUUCACAUGGUUCCAUAACAUGCAUCAAUGAACUUCAUUGAACAUUGGUCAGCUAAACGACUAUUAAAGACCAAUUGAGAGACUUUGCAACAUAUUCUUUGACACCCUAAUACCCAAUCCUUAGAGUAAAAAGGAAUAAAUUGACAAGAUAAAAAAAAAAUGGCAAGAUCAAUGUGAACCUGUUCUCUUCAUUAAGGAGACGAAAGCCUCUCCCUCACACUUUCUUCCUUCAUAUGAUCAAGCUGACUUGCCAAAGGUUGACAAAGAAGACUACUUCACAAAAUGAGUGCUCACAUCAAGUGUACAAUAGCUGGGAAUCUACCUAGUGCUCACAUCAAGUGCACAAUAGCUGGGAAUCUACCUUUUUCUUACCAUUAUAUUGACAGGGCCAUAACUUUUUAGUUGUGACAAAGAUUGAAUCCAGCAGUUCAUAGGCUAGCAACUACCCAGACAGCCUUAUACUUCCUUCUGAUAGAUCAUGAAUUCAGACACUUAGAACUUAAAACUACUGCUGAAUGCUGCCAGAGAAACGUAACUUUAGUUUCUCAGGAAGCCUAAAGACAGCGUGUUCAGUUGGGCUACAUCUAUAAAAACAAGAGCAAAAAGCACCAAAGAGAUUAGACUACAUCACCAAUGCCAGCAGUUAUCAGGACGUUUUAUAUUCACAGCACAAGAAAAGUGAAGGUUGCCAUGUUAACUUUUUAGUUGUUAUAGGAGGUUGAACACACUCACCCUGCUUUCUUCAUCCUUGGCCAUGCUAAACAAUACCAUAAGAGCUUUACUUUUUAAAAGUGAUCCAAUAACCUUCGAAGAAUUCCUAAGCAGCUUGAGAAUAAGAACAACAAUGCCUUCAUUUCUGACCCUGUAUCUGCUCAUAGGAUGCUCUUCAGAAAUCUUAUAUAUGCUAUCCAGUGACCUGUCAAUUGAGUCCAUCGAUGAAGAAUCCUCACUGAGAUACUCAACAGCUCUCUUAAUCUGAACCUCAAUAUUCCGGGUGACCCACUCAUCAAUAGCACCAGCUAAUCCAAUGUUAGGCUUGAGCUCCAAUGACUUUAGCACCACCCCAGUAACAGGACAAGUCGGCUCACGACCAUCUUCUAAACAUCUCUCAAACCAAUAAUUAAUAGCAGUUUUCUCAUAUGUCUGAGCCGAUUCCAACACAACAGGACUCUUCAUUAUCUCCUUGGUUAAGGGACAAAGAAAGUUCUUAAAAGGCAAUAAUUGAGCUCCUUCCUCUUCAGAAUUGAAAUCGAACUUCUGGGUUAGAAUAUCCGGCUGAAUUGCCCAAUUUUCGACAAUCUUCGCUAAUGAUGUCAAGAUACGCCUAUCUGAUAUAGAAGAUGAGUUGCCUAUAUCAUUCCUAAGAAGCUUAACCUGAUCAGCUAAUGCCAAGUGGUUAUUAGAGUCUAUCCCCAAAGCUCUAGCUAAAUCCAUUACCAUUGCACCCUGCACUGCUUUGCUGCAUUGCCUUCCUUGCCCUUCCUUUUUCAAAGUGCAAUAAACUCUUUCUUCAUUCUCUGUCACCUACAUAUCACAGGCCAACAGCUAGCGCACAUUAAAACACCCCUCAUUGACACAGAGAUGGACGCACAUAAUAACAAAACUCUAAAAUGCUACUGCAAGAGCGGAAAGAGAGAGGCCAUAAGCACAGAUAAAAAAGCGCGCAUACUACUAUAACAAAACGAAAAAUGGGAAAACACAUAUGCGAACAGACACGCAGACGCACACCCCAAUAAAAAACAUGGAUUAACACCCAAACAACAUUAUAAUAACUGAAACGAUAGCAAUAAUACUAACGACGACUUAGAACAAUUGACAGAAAAAUGGAAAAGACCGGUCCAGAGCGCACGUAAAACACACACAUGCACAAAGGAAACUUAAACCGACUUUUUUUCUUCAGAAACUUAAGAAGAGUGAACAGGAAAGUGGCCAAAAGCACAUACUAUAAAAACACGGGCAGGCAAAAAAGAGAGAGAGAGAGAGCUGGACUAUGUGAUGUCAUAAUAUAUACAAUAAUAAGGUGGAGAUUAAAAAGAAAAUUUACUCUGAAGUGGGCUUGUUUCAUAUCUCUAGAAAGAUCAGCGAUUUUGUUUUGAAGAUCGGGAAUGCCGUCGUCUUGCACGGCGGAGCCGAGGAGCGCUAACCACGCGGCAAUGGCUAACGUGCGCUCCUGGAGAGAGGCGCAGAGCUCCAGACAGUUAAUGAGCACAAAGAUCUUGCUCUUGUGUUUGUACACAGCUAAAGUCUCAGCGACUUGAGUCAAAUCAACGGUGAUACCUUUGAGAGCAGUCAGAACGGAAGGCGGGAGAUUCUCUGGCACCGUUGACCGGAGAAGCUGGUUGACUAGGAAGUGCAUCCUCUUGACGUACCCGGAGAAGCGUCUAGCGUUUUCCCAAGCGUACUGGCGGUCGUCGGAAACGGAGACAUCGGACAAUGCUCGGUGGAUUGCCUCCACGGCGGCGUGUGAGGAGGACGAUGAGGCCAUUUCCAUUUUGGGGGUGCGUCAGACGAAGAGGGUCAAAGUAGGAAGUCAGGCAUGACUGACUACGUGUGUUUUGGAGCAGUACUAGUAGUAAAAAUUGUUGGCUUUGAGUGAGGGUGAGCGGCAGCGGUGAUUGUAAAGAUUUUCCUCAGUUCAAUUGCAAUGCUGGGUGGGAUGGGAAGAGAGAAAGAGUCAAAGGUUUGACUAGUGGAACUACUUUGACACGCGUAUAAAUAUUAAGCAGUGCUACUUUGCUUACUGCCCCUGGCCCCCCCCCCCCCAAUUGAAUUAUAUCAAUUAAUUAAUAGAGGGUAUUAAUAACUUGAUAUGAAAUUCAAGGAACCCUUUCCUUCAAAAAAAAUAAAAUAAAAAUUCAAGGAACCCGGCACCCUAAGAAAAGAAAAUAAUUUCUUGUACAAAGUAAUUCCAUAUUGGAAUAUGGAUUAGAAAUUCCAUAAUCAGGUUUACUACCCAAUUGAUCCAACAUGGCGAAUAGGAGUGGUAUUUCAUUUCAUAACCCCUCUCUUCUCACGUUCCAAGAGAGAGUUGACCGUGCAGCUCCCCACUGGUUACGUUACAAUCUCUGCUGCUUACAAUUAGUACCACCGUGUGUUUUGACACCUUCCCUUCAAUUGGGAUGGUUUUCUGUUUUGACACCGUCAAUUUUUUAUUUCUCGGGUGAAUGAGCACAUCCCUUCCGCGUCUUUGCACUGACUCCAACACAGCCUUUCAUUGGCUGACGGUUCCCUGCCCCACUCCUAAAACCUUUUGUAAAGUACUCUUAUCACACUCCUCCUUCUCUUAUAUUUAUUUAAAACUUGCAACAUAUUUUUAGACCAAUAGCCUCAUCGGUCUGGCACCAUCUUUUGGGAAAGGAUAUAUGGCGGUUUCUUUACAGUGUAGUUCCUAAAACAAAAACGAUUGCUGCCAUGGAAAAUUUUUAAAAGAUGGCAGGCAACGUGCAAACGUUUCCUCGGAAUAAAUGCAGUUCUGUUUUACAGCGUAAUUCAAUCUUUUAUAGAAUAAUCGUCUUUUUUUGGGAACAAUGGGUUAAGAAUCGUUUAGUCCAGCAGCUGUGUGAGCACAAGGUGCUUUUGAAUUUACUCAAAUCCAAUUGAACAAACAACAAGGGAAGCAACCAUACCAAUCACAGAAGGUCGCUUGCUUAAUCAAGCAACCAAUUACGAGUAAAUUUGUUUGUUUUUUUUCCUUCUUUGGCAAAAUACAAAGGGCUUUAUUCCUUCUGCUGUUGCGGAAUCAUUUCUGCAAAACCUUUUAUUUGUCCAGCGAAUACCUGUUCCUGCAACCAAAAACAUGGUCUCCUUUCAAGUGCAUAGCUUGAUUCUGCUAUAGCUGAAUGAAAUAUUUAUUAUUGUAUACAAACCUAAAGCUUGACAAUAUCUAAAAGUGCUCCUCGACGUCUCAUUUUCUGAUUCAGUGUCGUAGUAUUUUUGUUCCGAUUUUUGCCUUGAAUUUUGUAUUCUUAAAUACUUGCAAAAUCACACAUUACUAGUUAGCAGUCAAUUCAGGAGUAUCAAUUCCAUGAUAUAUUUCGCUGCUACGUACACGAGGAUGUCUCUAAUGCGAGAGAGCACAAUCUUCUGGUUACCUUCAUAUCCGACUUAUAUCACGGCCAAAUACAAGGGUCGUUAACCAGUUGAUUGCUACGUAGAAUCUGUUCCUCCAGCUUAUGACACGGGUAAGAUAAGCAGACCGCCAGACAAACCAGCUUCCAAAUCCAGCCACAGAUAAUCCUCUUGCCUCCUGUACAAGGCCUCAAGAAACUGAGCCACCCACCAGAAGCAGUUUAACUGCCACAACAAAGAAAUACACGUACAGAUACAUUGGGUCAUUAACUAACCUUGCUCUGCCUGAGGUCCACAAGGCCUUGUAUCUACCAAUGGUCGCCAUGCUCCCCAAAUGCCUAUAGACAAAUGGAGACCCAAGAUCGAUAUCCAUUGCAGCAUUGGCACGUCCACCACCAGCUUUACCAAUCCUGUUCAGUUCUUGUGCUAGAUAUUUUCCCUGCCGCUCAGCAACCUGGCCAAUGUAUACAUUGCAGAAACAAAUUACUUGAGAUAGUAAAAGUACGUCAAAUUGAUGUAGUGCCAGCCGGUCCACCAAUAUGCAGCCACAAAUCUUCAACCACACAGUGCAACACAAGAACUGGAGAUUUGCUACAUGCAAAUCUGUUGUACUUGCUAAAAAUUCAUGUCAUGAUAGUCAAGAAUUGGCAGUAUUGAUCAACCUUAGCAAGAGGGCACCCUACCUCAUAAAACUUAUUACCAUUGUUGGAACAAACAUUAUGCAAUCAACAGUUAAGGAUUUGUUACAUUGUCCAAAAACUGAACAACUGGAAAAAGAUGUAACCUGGAUGUAUAUAUAUAUAGACACACACACACACACACACACACACACACAUAUAUAUAUAUCAAUAACAACAAAAAACAAUGUCCUCAUUGAACCAAACCUUUGCUAAUUCGCAAGUUCUCUUUCAUAAUUCUUUACUCACAUUCUGUUAGCCUUUUGUUUUUCAUUCAACAAUCUGUCGAGAAAAGAGCAGAAACUAAGCUUGAAAAACAGAAUAUUGGAAUUAUUGAAGCACGAGGAAGGUAGUCUGGGAUACGGAUCUUGGGUUUGGAAAAGUUGACAGAUCCAGUACACCUUUCUAUGGGGAAAUGCAAAACCAGAACAGAUCAUAUCCCAAGCAUGACAAAGUCUAGCUUAGGAGUUCCAUAAUAACUUUUCAAAAUGAAAGGGAAGAAAUGAAAUACAAAAUGAAAUUUCAAACCUAUACCCACUUAACCAUAUAUAACUUAUCAAUUUACUGGAUAGAAAAGAAAGAGUUACCACAAACGUUCUCCAACUAUGUAACAAUUAUAACACUUUUCACACAAAAUUAUCUGCAUUAAGUAUUUUCCUUAACUUACCUGAGCCAGAGCUGGAAGCACAGGCUUGCCUGUUGAUUCAAGAAACCCACAGCAGUCACCAAUAGCAAAAAACAUCCUGCACAGCAGGGACACGAAGCCACUCGUCUACCCCUAUCCUGAAGAUGCACGAACUGUUGUAAUAAGUCUUUCAAGCGCAGAAAAUAAAGAGAAAUUGGAAAUGGAAAAGAAACACAGCCCUGUUGUAACAUCUAGUGAUCAACAAUUUGACUACAUAACAAUCAUGUAAAACUCUUGGAGGCAGUGCAAAAUUACCAUGUGAUGUUCCAAAAUCAAACCUUAGUCAAUUCAAGUUGAUAGAAACCUGGAUGGAUAAACUUGUAAUUCUAUCAUAUGGAAGAAUCCAAAUCUUUUUCUUUCUCUUUUUUUUUUUGGGGGUGGAGGGCGGGGAGCUAAUAUAAGUAUCUAGGAGAAGGAAUAAAUUUUUAUCCAUUUGGAGGCCAAUAACCUUAUCAGAAGCUUAAGCUUUCAAGAAUCUGCAUGUAUAAAAGCAGAAGGUAUCGAAUCCAUGCUGACCUUCCCCCAGGUGAUUUGGGAACAUCCACGGAUUUGACAAAAGGUGAAGGGCCAACGCCAGUAGACCACACCAGCAGACCAUAAGGUACAUCAGUCCCAUCACUAAGAACUAUCUUCUCAGGUUGAACAUCCUUCACAAUUCCACGAACUAGACGAACUCCUGACUGAGAAGCUACUAAAUUAAUAACAAAAAUCACAAACAACACUAUGAGGUCUGACAUGCUUAAUAGAAGUAAAUUAAAAAUACCAAUUGGUAGCCAAGGUAAACAAAAUAAACUACCUUAAUCCCUAGUCACAACAUCUAGGGCCAUACUUUCAUAUGAUUGAAAAACAUAGAAAUAACAAUCGUUAAAUUAACAUCUCUGCACAUAUAUAUGUGCAAAUGGACAUACAAACUCUUACCAGGGUCUCACCUUAAUCAACUGCUUGGUUGCGUAUAUCCGCAGGCGAUCAUCAAAGGAAGACAAAAUCUCAUUUGCCUGGAAAUGAAGAAGCGGUAACUUGUUAUGAUCAAUUAACACUUUGUGCAAAACGAGUAUUAUACAAAUAAGUAAUAAUUGCAAUAGGAAAAUGUCAACGCACAACAAAAAACAAGAAGAAGAAGAAAAAAAAGAAAAGUGAAGGCGCGAUACAGUAUUUUUUUUAUUAGCUUUACCUCAAUCAAAGUAACGCGUAUAUAAUCCUUGACAUGAGCGUAUCUCUGGCGGACAUCCCUCGUGAUAAAAUCACUAAGUUCACCGCUGAACUCAACGCCUGUUGGACCACCACCAACAACUACACAAUGUAGGAGCCUACGUUUCUCUUCAUCACUAACUCCUGCCUCACCGGUACCGUAUCAGCAAAAAGAGUCCAGAAUAAUGCUAGUUCAUUCAAAUGUGAGCAGAAUUUGGGAUAUAAGGCAGCAUAACGGAUACCUGGCACAUCAGAGAGCAUGAGAUUAAGAAGCAAUUUCCUCCGGAUUUCCUGAGCAUGAUGAACCUCGCGUAGAAAAAUGGCAUGUUCUUUAACACCCCUGAUGCCGAAAGUUGACGCUUCUGCUCCAGCUGCAAUCACCAGCUUGUCAUAUGCAAUGGUGAAGUUCCAUGGCUCCAAAGUACCAGCCCCAUCAGUUACUGUUUGGCAAUUCACCUACCCCAGAAAAAGAAAGAGAAAAAGAAAAAAAAAAAAAAAAAGGAGUAAUGACCGCUAAACAGCUAAGGAAACUAUGCUAAAAAAGAAAAAUAUUGCUUUCUUAACACGAAAUUUAUAAGUAUCAGCGAUGAUCAUCAGACCAAAAAUGAGGGAAUAUAUACCAGAUGGUUUUGGAAAUCAACGCCGGUGGAGUUAGCAAGGAAAUAGUACGAACCGGGUUCCCGAGAAAUGGCAGGUUGGAUCCUUCCAAUGGGUUCGGCAACAGACCGGAAUUCCAGAGUGCCGACGCACGUGGAGGCCAGCAAUGGAGUGAAGACCAUGUGAUUCCUGGGGGAGACGCAAACGACGUCGUAAAUGCUGGUAUCGAUAUCUUUAAUGAGUCUGCAUCCGGCCCAUCCCGAGCCCAAAACCACCACCCUCGCCUUCUCAUCCCCCUUUGUGGGCGCAAGCCCAGCAUACGUCGCGGCAACAGUACCAGCUCCACUGCCUUUAUCACUCACCUCCGCCUCCGCCGCCUUCUCUUCGGUGGCGGCGGUGCUGAACUGUAGCAACUGGUGGGCGAAAGCAUAGGAAAGUGACGUAGCAGUAGUGAUGGGUUUGAGCGACGAGUGUGUUCCGAAGGUCGUAGAGGAGGAGAGGGGGAUGAGAUUUCUGAACCAAGGCAUGGCGGUUUAGGGUGGAAGCUGUUGGUUUUAAUAUUUUAUUUGUUUCCUUAUGUAGUAGUAGUGGAAGGCUGGUACUUUUUAUGCUGGAUAAUGGAUUUAAGGGAGGAUUGACGACAUGAACGAAUUGGUGAUUGAGGAUUUAAGAAGGGAAUUGGAAGAUUCUCUGAUUUUUGGCAUCCCCAGUUUUUUGGGGAGAGUUUCUGUGGUUUUGACGGAAAAUGGAUCGAGUACGGUCAUACGAGAAAUUAUUAUCAUUAUUAUUAUUGUCAUUGGCUGCUGCGCUGGGACGACGAGACAGGUGGCGGCCUGAUGGGUCAACAGAUGGCAUGAUGGUGGUGGCUAUUACCUGGUCGAGGAUUCGGUGAAUCAAAAAAUUUCGCGCCCCGCAAGAGAUGGAAAGGUGGUAUGGUGGUCUCUGUCCUUUUCUUUUUUGGUUUUAACAAAAUGGUCUUUGUCAGUUGAUAAUAUUAAAAAAAAAAAAAACAGAUAUUACUUAGAAAAAACUGAAAUAAACAAAGCCUUUUCUUUGGCAAAGUAGUUUGUUUUUUUCGUUUUUGUGCAUAAUUUCUUAUUUUGGUUUUCCAUUUGUUGCUCGAUGAAGUUCAGAAGUUAAUUACUUGAUCUAUAUGUUGUUUUUCCUUCUAAACUAAAAAUUUAAUCUAUUUUUAUGUUACGAGGGAGGAAGGUACCCAACACGAUUUGUAUGGGAUUGGAGGUGAACCUCCAACUGGGCAACAACGAGAAAGGCAAGUAGAAGACGUAAGCAGAGUCGACUUCCUCUUCCCAUUUCCAUCCUUCUCAGUUUUUUUACUCCUCAAGAAGAUGGCCUGGUGUUGUGCAGUGUUUAUAUAUGUAGAAGUCUUAGCGCUGGCGUUGUGCAGUGAGUAUACGCAUGUAUAACAAAGAUCAUGGGCAACCCCCCCCCCCCCCCAAAAAAAAAACCACCAAGGAAAAAAAAAACCAUUUUCAUUUUGGGGUUGGGGAAGAUUGCAGUUGACAUUCGAGCAAAUGGUUUGAGACAUGAUGCGAGAGUAUUGUGGGAGUAUCCGAGCGGCGCAUCUUGGGUCAACGGAUUGCUGUUGCUCACCUAACUAAUUUAAGGUAAGCUGCCGUUUACCAUAAUUCCUUUAGUUGGGUAGCACUCACAAACUUUACGGACUCCAGGAGAUUGAGAAGCACAUGGAAUUAAACUUGUGACUUCCACGCCAACCAGUCCGAGAUAGCAAUUCCCAGUAAAGAAUUCCAAUUCAUAUACUAGUUUUUAUAAUUCCGUUGUCUUCAUCUUGGUACCUUAUUAACACAUUGAAGGCUCCUACAAGUGAAUCAUCACACAUUCAGCUCAUUUUAGUACCUUAAUAAAUAGAUUGAAGCCCAAGUAAGUGGAACAUAAAAAGCGGAAAAUAAAUAUGCAAUUAAACGAGCUUUGAAGGAAACUGAUAAUCAAGUCAUUUGUUACAAGGACAAAAUGCAUUCCCUUGCGACUACCCUAAGAUCAAUUAUAGUAAAUUCCUGUCAAUGCAUUUGAGAGUUGCGUCUUUUUUUUCUUUUUGUCUGUCCGUCUAACGAGUGUCCACUUGUUAAGAUAUAAUUCAUUUGUUAACAUUUUUAAGGAGAAGAAGCUAUCCUGCGUGUUGAUAUUGUCAGUGCAAUAUUUAUCACAUACAAAUCGACAGGUAAGAACUCAUUAACAGCAUCUAGGCGAACACAUAUAUAGUGUAAACUUUGUGUGGCUUUCUACAGACACAAACUGUCGGCAAAAUUAACUUCACAUCCAAAAGUGUUUCUUGUGCUAUAGCCCGAUUGCAAAAAUCAAAAAAGACAAAGAAAAAAAAGUUUGUAGGUUCUGUGACCUUCACUUCUUUUGCCUUUGUUUUUUUUUUCUUUUUAGUCAUAUCUUUUCGUAUAUAAUUAAAGCAUGAGACAUGGUUUCGAUAUUGAAUUCUUGGUUUUCUUAAAUGGGUCUAAAAUUUAUCAUAUAUAUCUAAAAAUUUCUCAUAUCCAAAUCCAAACAAAUUUAAUAUCGUCCACCCUCCACGAAAUGAAGAACACUACUAGCUGGCAAAAUCGAAACUGUUUCGUAAUGGCUCACAACAAUAUUUAUUAAUUUCGGCUGCCACUCACGGUCGCGGGUUCGCUCGUAGUAACGGCCCACUACUCAAAAAUCUUCGCCCCUAUUUAUAAUAACUUAUAAGACAACAUGCUGGUUGUUUCAAAACCAAGAUUCAGCUUAGCUAAUCACAAGGUUUUUGGUUUGACUCUCUAACCUAAUCUCUUUUCUUAUCCCCUCUUGUAUGAUUUGAGUGUCCUCUUGAAUUAAAAAAACGUUUGAUUGUCUAAACAAAAACUAGGAUAUAUAAAGAGUUUGGCUAAUGAGUAUCCAUUAAGAGCACUCAUUACAAGUAGCCUUAAGUGUUUGUUUUUUUUUUUUGUUUUUUUUGCCAAUAAGUGUAAUUAAUUUGAGAAGGUAUCUAAAUGCAUAAGGUGCAAUAUUGUGACUGUAUAUAUUCACAUGGUAAAUAAGCAAACAUCCUUUAGUAAAAUCCUAGCAUGAAUGAUUUGUUUUUAAUUUAAUUGUCACUGAUAACGCCUAGCUAUUCAUAGUAUAAUCUUAUAAAACGAAUAUUAAUUCCUUUAAUUUUAUCCUUAAAUCCCAAGCUUGAUGGGCGUUGGACCCCAAAAAGACAAGUAAAAUAAAAUGUUUCAGCAUGUGUCACACAUAUAGAUAUAAUCAAUACAAUCUAACUCCUCUCGGCCACUAAUUGUGAUAGAAAGGAAUAUGCAUCAGUUGAUCUCUAAAGUUUCAAUUCACAAAGAAGCAAAUGUUGUAGUAUGGAUAAAUUGCAAUCUCCCUCCUCCCUCAAGAAAAUGCCACUUAAUAACAAAGUCUUGAACGUACGUGAAUUUCAUUAAGAAAAAAAAAAAACAUGGAAAGAAAGAAACAGCAUACACAACAAACCCUUCAAUGAAAUGUAAACAGGAAACAGUUGCCUUGACGAAGCCCUCCCUAAGCAUAGGAAGGAAUAUCCAUAACGCAAAAAAAACAAAACAUCAAACGGAGCUCUUUAUUGCACAAUGCAUCAGUUGAUCUAAAGUUACAGUUUUAGACCCCCCCAGGAUUGGAUCAUACUUUUUAGCCGCUCACGUCGUAUGCAGAAAAAGGUACUGAUAGCAAAUUGCCGGACUUGUUUUAUAUAUCAACGUUUCCUGGGCCUCAUUUGCGGUGACCGCGCCUAGGAUCAUGGCCGGUGUUAGCCGAGGGUGCGCUGUAAUCAUCAAGCUUGAUUUUCAGAGACCUUCCUUCCAUCCCGGCAACAAUCGUCUCCUCUUCUGAAACGAGAGAGAGCCCAUUUAUAUUUUCUGUGAAUAUUACGGGUGUUCGUUGAAAUAGUAAAUGCGUGAAUGGAUAAUGAUACUCGAAAAUACCUGAAAUGAAAUGUGUUGUUUAGCGGAGCAAAUAACGAGAAAGGCAAGCAGAAUACAGAAGCAGAUCGACUUCCUCCUCCGAAGCCCAUUCCUCUUUUCAGUUUUUACUCCUAAAGAAGACGGUGUUGUGCAGUGAAUGCCCUUCCUUCUAUAUAGAAAGAGUCUACGACUGUGGGUUCCUGGCCCUUCCUUCUAUAUAGAAAGAGUCUACGACUGUGGGGAUUCCAUAUAUAUAUAUAUAUAUAUAGCGUCAUUUCUGUUCCCCUUUUUUUGUUUAAAAAAAGAAAGUGGGGUUUGGUGGAAAAUUGGAGUACAUUGCAGGUUGCAACCCGUUUGCGAUGUGAAGUUUUCUCGGAGCAUCUGAACCGCUCAUUUUGGUCAACGGAUUGCUUUUUUUUUUUGGGCCAACGGAUUGCUGUUGCUUGCUUGUCUAAUCAAGGUAAACGUAGCUGGUAGCGAUCACAAAGUUUACGGACUCCAUGAGAUUGAGAAAGUAGGAAAUUACUCUGAGAGUGUGUUUGAAUAGUAAACUUAUUUUAAAUAAUUUUUAUUUAUAUCAUAGACAUAAUUUGAAUUAAUUUUUUUGUAUUUCACAUGCAUCAAAUCCUAAAAAAUGCUAUAAUAAUUGUUCUAUAAAUAAUUUGAAAUAAUCUCAUAUUGCAUCCUUCAUGUAGUUUUUGGACAAUAUUUCCCCCCUGAUUUUAGUUUUAUUUUUGCAACACUUUAAUGGCCCCAAAUCCAAUGAGUAGAACACAACAAAGUAUUGGACCGACCCAAAUGAGUGGUUAACAGGGAAGAACCAUCUUCCCGAUGAAAUGAAUUAUGGAGGAAACUAAUAAUACAACAAGUUAAUUGUCACAAACAAACUAUUGGGAUCAAACCAGUAGUUAGGGAAAAAGUCUUUCAGAAUCUUCCCUUCAUCAAUUUAAGGAUUCAAAUUGUGUUCUGACAAUUACAGGUGGGUGAAAGAGUGGGAUAGGGAUGAAAAGGUCUUAUUCCAGACUUAUUCUUCCACUGGGAUUCUCAGCUAUUUCCGUACCUUCCAUUAUUCCCAUGCCAGAGUCGUUUGCAACCUCAGAACCAUUCCACUAGGCAUUUUAUUUUUCAUUUUAUGAUGUGAAAUUCAAUUCAAGAGAUUCAAACAUUGAGGACUCCUUAAUUUGUGUGGACGAGCCAUAUACAUGUCUCAUAUCACAACAACAUCUUUGGAUGCAGCAUGAAAGUAGAGAGAACUAGCAAUCCGACGAAGUUCAGCGUUCGCGUUCAUCACAAAGUCUCCCCGGCCAAAAAGCCAUCCUGCUGCCUGAACUAUGUGGCUUUCUAGAGACAAAAACGGUGGCCAAGUUAACUUCACACUCACUGGUGCUUCUUAAGCUAUAACCCCUUCUGCAAAACCACGUACAUAUACACGUAAGCUGGGCGAAUCUCUACUAGCCACUAUUUACCCCUUUUUUUUUGUAAUAAAAAUUUAUCUGAAUUCGACUCCAACCAUAACCACGCGUUAGAAUAUGUUUUGAGAUCUAAAGUUACUUGCAAAAGAGCGAUCCUUAUUGAGUCCCUUCCACGUACCGGUCAAUUAAGAAAAUAAAUGAACAAGAGUUUUAACCCAGCCACCAAAUCAGUUGGGAUCCUCUAUGUCACUAUUCUCGUGUCAAAUUCAAUGCCAAUCCACUUAUCAUAUGAUGGUAGAAGAAAUUUAAAUAACUAUAUAUAACAGGACACUUGACAUAAAUAUAGAAGUGGCACUGAAUUGUCACUGAAUAAACGCACCAGUCGAUGGCACGUGCAGCGUCUUCACGAACUGACACUUAAAAAUUUACCGGAUAAAAUAAUCCAAAAAAACACACACCAAGAGAACAAUGUCAUUCAUUAGAGGUAUUAAAAUGGAUGACUCCAAUGACUUUGGACAUGUCAUGAUUGGAUAAUGAAUUUAAUUUCAUCAAUUCAUUUAUAUCAAUUUAAAUAAAUGAGUAUCAUAUAAAUAUAUUUAUUUAUUUAUUUAUUUAUUAAAUACAUAUUGAUAUAUCCAAUUACCCAUUUAUGAACUACUUAAAAUUCUACUUAUUUUUUUCUUUUUUUUAGCAUUUUUUUGACAAAAAAAAAUAUUUUGUUAUUAGCAGAUUGAUAAAAAAAUUCAAAUUUAUUUGCUUAACACUCACUAAAAUUGAAUUUAAAUAUAUAUAAUUAUUUUUAAAUAGAUAUACAUGAGUGAAUCGAAUCAACUCGCUACUUUAAUUGACUAUCCGUUUAAAUCCAUUCAAAAUUAACGAGCAAGUUUAAAUGAAUUAUUGGUGAACAAAUUUGGACGAAUCAACAUAAUUAGUUGUGAUGGACACCUCUAAAUGUCACCAAGCAAGAAAACCUUGCGGAGAAGACUUUGGCAAUACAUAUUAGGCCUGGUAAACUCGACUAGCAUCAAAACAUCCGGAAAAGUAGAGUUAUACUCGACGGGUUUUAAGGAGAAGACUAUGGUAAUACAAACUAGGCUUAGUAAACUCGACUAGCAUCAACACAUCCGGAAAAGUACAGUGUACUUAACCAGUGUGCCACGCCUUCGUUAUGGUAACAACUUUGUAUUGUUGUCUUUUGUUUGUCACAUGGCAUCUAAGCAUGCUGUGUAUUCCUCCUUUCAAUCGAAAAAAUUGGUGAAGAAAACAUGACUCCCACCGUCCAGAUACUCGACGGAUCUUACCUGAUCAGAGCAAGUUAUAAAAAGAGGAAAAAGAACUCAGAAAACUGCUUUUAGCCAGCGUCAUGACAAUCAAGCAAAUUCUUCAAGCAAAUAUUACAUUACCAGAAAAAAAGGUCAUCUGGCAUCUUUGCAUAAUCUGACCUGCUGCGAGGGGCACAGGCAUGAAUGUGGAUCUUUUAACAAGAAGAUUAUGGACAUAAACAAGAAAAUGGAAUAUAUUAAUUUUCUGUUUACACCUUCAAAUAACAAGCAAAGAUCAACGCAAAAUGGUGCAUGCCAUGGAAAAAUCCCGCAAAAAAGCGGGUACCACAGGAAUCACUGAAUCAAGCACCCACAGCAGGGAAUAUCCAACCAAAACAUACAUAACAGAAACUAAUAUGCAAACAAUUUUGACAGCUAAAACAGGUUCUUGAAAUACACCUAUCCAUAACAAUAUCAAGUGCAAUAAGUUGUUGAUACACCAUAAGAAACAUCAAACUUAAAAAACCGCUAGCUGUUUAUAAAGUGAACAAACUUCAGAGAAUUACCAGCCAGAAAGGAAGUUCAGCUUUUGCAAGGCCUAGAAAGAGAUUGCAUACUAUAGAGAGAGAAAUUUCAGAUCAUUUACUUCCCACAAAAGUAGAUAUAAAGAUAUGAUUUUGCACUUCUAUCUUACAGUAGUACCACAAUUCCAAUACACCCCCAAUUAGUGAAGCAAUGAUGAACCUAUACCUUCUAUCUUUUCUUGAAGCCAUAUUUCUUGCGCUCAUAAAACAAAUCUGUCUUAGCACUUCCAAGAUUAACGAUUUUAGGACACCCAUCCCGAUCUUUCUCUUGUUGGGUACACUCUUUACAGUAGUAGGCAUCAGAGAUUCCCACUCCUCCACAGAUGACACAGCGACCCUGAAAUGAUCCGUAGUUGCACUCAUCACAAACUCGGACCAGCGUGCAAGGGCGCACAUAAGAAUCACAGACUACACACUUUCCGUCACAUUUUUCACAAAGCCGUCCAAUGGCUAUCCCCGGCUGCUUCCUGCACAUAAUCAAAUCAGGAUGAUGCUUGGCCAUGUUUUCAACAGAUAAAUCCCAGAUCCCAAAUCCAAUUAGUAACCUGCAAAAUGGACAGACUCAAGGGUAAGUUACUAAAAUUGGUAAACAACAUUUAAGACCGAAAAGUUGAAAGACUUCACCAGAGUUUCAUAUUAAACGAUUUCGCAGGAUCAAUUUAGUGCAAUAGAGAAUCUCUAUUUCAUUGAGAUCAUUUAUCAUUUUAUAAAGUUAUAAAGUGCCACAAGCCCCUCCAACUAGCAAGCAUCAAAUGAAAGCUGAAAAAGAUAGUCAGCAUCAUAUGCAGAUACCAGUCAUAAACAUGAUCAGCCAAUAUUCUACCUUGCCCUUGCCACAUGAUCCCAAACACUUGGUCAAUUUUGAUCCACAUACAAUGUGUAGGUAAAAAGACGAUACAAGAGCUGCUGAAAACCAGUGCUCAUAAUAACAAGUGCACAAAACCUUCAGAGUAGCUAUGUUAUGCACAGAAUCACAUAUUAAGACAAACUUUCAGCACUGGAUAUGUUAUGCACAGAGUAAAACAGAUCAACAAUAAAAAGAGCACGCUAUUCCUGAAAACUUUAAUCUGUAAACUAUAACGACUGUCCUUAACCACUUUACACCUGUAUUUUCGCCAAGGGAACUACAAGAGAUGGAUCAUACAGACCUUAAUUUUAUAUUGUAUAUGCCCGAAUUCAUCAAAAACCUUUUAGCAAUUAAAUCAAAACUUUCCACAUAGCAUAGGCAAGUUUGCCACAAAAUGCACUACAGGACUGUUCAAUGCCGUCCAUAUUCUGGUAAAAGAUUAUAAGGAAAUAAAUGCAUCUUUUGCCUAUUGUUUUUUUAACCAGAAACGAACACACGCUCCAACCUAGAAAUUGUUUUACAACAUACAAGCCUUGAUACUAAUAUUUUGACAAAGAACCAUAACUAUUAGGGCUUAAAAGUGGCCUGGAAACUAGGCCAUUCCAUCAGAAAUAGUGGACAUAAUUAAUUCACCCAAUCAUUUUGGUUGGUAAUGCUUUCAGCAAGUGACUGUGAUAACCAGUUUGAAACCAAAUAUCAUUACCAAAGGUAAAACACACCAGGUAACAUUAACUUGUUCCCCUUUACAUCAUAAUCGAAUUUUAAGGCAUUAGACCACAAAAUCAGAACCUGGAUUCACGAUAGACAUUAGCUAAAACAAUAAGACUAACAUAUUUUCAUAAAUUAUUAAACACAGAGAAUUCUACAGACAAGAAAUGGACAACGAUAAGAUUUUGAAAAGUACUAACCUCGUCCCAGCAAGAAUGCUAUGGAGAGUUUCCGACGGAAAAGGCACGCCUCCGUCAGCAAGUCCCGAAUUAUCUAUCAGCUGGAAGAUUGAGGAAGGCAGCUGCUAAUCUGUCAAGGUGCGUGAACACAGAGGCCCGACUAUAGAAUACGCAAUGGAAUGGAUAGUAACUUGAACCGUAUCCGAAAAACAAAAGUCUAGGUUAGGCUCCGCCUCCUGAUUCCUAAACUGUGAAUCAGGUCGGAUGUUUUGACCCGUAAACUCAACCGACAGAAGAGCCCAUAACAGAUUAGAAACUGGGCUUUAUUUCUUUCUUUCUAUGAAAGAGAUUCAUAAUUAAAUAUUUACUAGGCUUUAGAGUUUAGACUUCGGUGACAUUUGCAUUCUAUGUAUACAUAAAAAUAAAAAAUAAAAAAAGUUUAUCCAUGAACCGCUGGGCUGGAAACAAUAAUAUAUUUCGCUAGUGGUAGCAUUUUAGAGGGGCUCCAAAUUCCUUACCAUUCUCGACUCUGACCCCAAAAGAAAAAAAGAAAAUAUAAAUUACCUUAUACUUUAACAUUUUACAUUCGAUCUCCCUACUGUUCAAUAAUAUUCACUUAAGUAUCUUUUUUUUUCCCGAUACAAAGAUUCUAUUCUAUACGUACUCAUACUCUAUAUUAGGGAAGAGGGAUUUAAAGAGGUUAAAGAAAAUUUGGUGAACCACCACAGGUCCAAACGAGUAUGCGGUGAACUAACAGAGGACCUAAAGAGGUCAAGAAGAAUCCAGUGAACCACCAUCGAUUCCGAAGAGAUAAAAAAAAAUCCGAUAAAUCAUCACUAGUUCAAACAGGUGUGCGAUGAACCAUCACCAAAAAGUCUGGAUAAUAAAAUACAGGUUAAGAGAUUUGACUUACGCCUAAAGAGAAUUUUAAAACUCUGUUAAUAGCCAAUAAUUUUAGGAGUAGUUAGUUAAUUACUUUUGUUUGAUUGAUGUAUAAUUGCUCCUAGUGUAAGUUGUAUAAGUUUGGCACUUCAAAAUUGCAGUCCAAUUAAUUUUGAAUUGCUAGUCUGCCCAUUUUAAAGUAGUAGUUGUACGAAAAAGUAGUCGAGAUUUGUAAAAAAGGGUUCCAUGCAAGGAAGUUGCUAACUUGGCUCAUAGGCCUAGGAGCCAACAUCCGGACACGGAUUCCCCUCCAUUAUAUGGACGUUAGAAAAAGGGUUCUUUUUUUUUUUUUUUGGAGAGAGGGGGGGGGGUGCAGGGGUUUAGUGUUUGGCAGAUUUAGCCAAAACCCAAUUGCCCAACUGGUCAAUCUAUCUUUAGACCGCGCCAAUAAUUUCACAGCUCAAUUACUCAUCACAUUAAUAAAUCAGAUCCAUCAUCCAAAAACGGUGGAUGGUAUAUUUGGUUGCACUCCAACCAAAUCUUGACCGUCAAACAAUCCAAUUCAACUCUAACUAGAAAUCUUCUCAAACCAACCGAGUCGCAAGAAUAGGCAACAAAAUAAAUAGGCAGCAGCCGUUUCUGAAUCUGAUGACUUCAGCACGCUCCGCUUCCUCAAUUGCCAUUGGAGUCGGUCAAUUCGGAUCUACUGUAUGUGUAUCUUCCCCACUACUGGCCCCACAAACCUUUCCUAUUGGUUUCUUGAAUCUUGACUGUUGGGAGCUUUAUCCUCAGAAAUUUUUCUCCCCAAAAAAUAAUAAAAGCAACCCUGAUAUAUAUAUAUUUAUUGAUAUACAAAAUCAAAGGUAAAUUGGACUUUACAAAUACAAUAUACCACUCCAUCGCCAACUGUCCUCUUUGCACAGGAGCUCCUCUGCGUUGGCAAGUGGCAAUCCGCGACGGGAAGCUCUCCUCCUCCACCGUCCAUUUCCACUUCCACACAUCUCUUCUGUUCUGUGGCGAAGAUCUCUAUCCUCGUAACGACUCCCCGCGAAUCCUGAAACUUGUGAUUCAUGUCUCUAUCUUUCCCCGGUUUACGAGUUUCUACGCGGUACGUACUAGUGUACUGGUGAUGUGCUUGGUCACACUUACAAUGGGACCACGACAGUUGUGUCAAAGAUCCACGAAUAAUUAGGGGCGGCCCCUUCCGCUUCUUCAACUUUGUGGCUUGGAAGUGGAGUUAGAGAGAGAAAAAAAAAAAAAAGGACCCAAAUUUCCUUGUCUAAAUCAAAGCAUAUCGUACUACUUUAUUUUCCUUGAUGAAUUUUAAAAAUAAAGUAGGGCAAGUGAGUAAAAGUGAGUUGAGGUUGUUUUUAAGUGGUUUUAACUUUCAUUUUCCAUACUCAUUGGUUUGAUGAUGACAUAAUCCAACCCGACUCACUAAUUAAUCGUACGUGAACUAUUUAUUGCAGAAUUUCAGUUUCCAAAAGUAACUUGCUUCAUGCACCAAACUUUUUUUUAGAUAGGAAGGGAUUCAUGCACCAAACCUGAGUUUGAGUUUUAUCUUUGCCCAAAGCUGUCAAUAAUAGCUUACCACAUAUAGGGGUGCUGUCGAGUCGAGUCGAGCUCUACUCGAGCUCGACUCGAGACAAAAUAACUAAGCUCGAGCUCGAGCUCAUCAAGCUUUUAAAAUUGGAGCUCGAGCUCUAAUUCGACAUCGAUUUAUGGAACUCGAGCUCAAGUUUAAUUAAAUGUAAUUAAUUCAAAUCGAGCUCAAUUGAGCUUAUUCGAGCUCAAGUAAUAAAAAUUAAUAUUUUAUAUAUAAUUUUAAAUGAAGGAUAUUAUUAACAUUUCACAAUAAUAAAAAAAAAUAUAUAUUAUAAAAAACUCGAUAGAGCUCGUCGAGCUCUCGAGUAUUAUAUUCCAAGCUCGAGCUCGACUCGAUAGCUCUAACGAGUAGCUCGAGCUCGAGCUUGGUCAACCGAACUCGAGCUGCUGACCAAGUAUCUCGCGAGCUCGAGCCGAGCUAUUUGGUUGAGCUCCAACCCUAACCACAUAUGGGAAGGUAGAAAUUAAACACAUUUUAACAAGUCUUGCAUUCUAAUAUGGGACAGUAACUAGAAAUUAAGUGAUUUUUUUUUUGUAAUUUUUUAUAAAUGAAAGAUUUUAAAUUCAAAACUUUCUACCGACAAUCUCUUCUUUUUUUUUUUACUGUCUAAUCUAAUCUAAUCCUCUGAUUUAGACGCAAAAGUUAUAGUUGCGACUCUCUGUCUAAAAUAACGUGUCAAUAAAACUCUUUUUUUUUUUUGCCCGGAAUAAAAUACUAAUACUACUACGUCAUUAAAACUCACUGAUGAGUACAAAUAAAAAUUUCGUGCCUAAGGAUUGAGGAAUCUAUCAUAGUUUUGCUCGAGAGAUUCUCGAAAACGUCAUGUCUCAGACCGAGUACGACUCCUACCCUCCGUUGUUCCGCCCAAGGAGAAGCCCGACCCUCCCCAGCCCCGAUUCUGACGACUUCUUCAACCAACAAGUUCCAGAUUUCGACCCCGUUCCUGUGAUAGAUUCCGAGUGCAUAAACCAGAAGCAGCUGGAUGAAGCUUGUAGAGAGUGGGGUAUGUUUCGGUUGAUCAACCACGGAUUCCUCUGACCCUUUUGAACAAACUUCAUGACCACGCCAAAAAGCUCUUUUCUCUCGCCUAUGAAUCCAAGCAAGCCUCUUUCACCCCUCCCAUAUCCUACUUUUGGGGCACCCCUGGCCUCACCCCAUCUGGUGUUGUCAUACAAAGAGAUGCUCGUGCCCAGAGCCAGAACUUCAACUGGCUCGAAGGUUUUCAUGUUCUUUUAACUCCAUUAUCCCAGCUUCAAUAUGAAGAUCCUGUGCUCGACUCUUUCAGGUUAGCUGCUUUUUCCCACCAUCAUUCCAAUUAACAGCUUCUUUUCUGCUCUGGUUUGUCACGUUCAAGAUUUUUAUUGUCUUUUACUACUCAGUACACAUUCCACCCGUAGUAUUUGCUUUUCUCUCUCUCUCUCUCUCUCUUUUUUUUGGAACUUGGCCAGAAAUGCUCUCCUGAACCGCUUUUAGAAGGGGAUUGACGAGAAUUAAGAAGCUUGAUUGCGUGAAGAGGACAGGACAGUGACAAUUGAAUUGAAACCACCCUCGUUUUAAAGAUUGAUUAUAUAAUAAUAAACGAAGACUAAUGAAUCAACAGACAAUACUAGAUUCUAAAAAUUUUCAGCCGUAAUAUGUGGACUCCAUCGCCUGUGCUUACUUCUGUAUGUUGGCCAUAGGCAAAUAAAUUCGUAGUGAAAAAAUAAAACAUUUUAGUUUGGUCACUCAGGUUGACGAUGAGAUUUGACAGUUAGAAAUCAAAUCACUGAAGAUAUUUGACUCACUAAAGUUGGUUUUUUUUUUUUUUUUUUUUUUCACGGAGAGUCUUAGAUGAGCGUUAACGUGUGGUGGCCAAGAAUAGUCAGUACGUACUAGAGAGUCAGCAAUUUGAGAAUGGAGCUCCCAGUUUUAAAAUGUCCUCUUUCAUGCAGUAAAUUUUUUUUUUUUAGGUGAAGGAAGUGGAAGAUGUAGCAAAAUUGUAUGGUAGUUAGUUUGUCCACUCCACUAAGUUAGGUUGGCAAGAUGAUUACGAAAACAAGAGAGCUGCGGUUUUGUAGCGAAUCUCUUCACAUUUAUGAUUUAACUUCAAGUGGGGGACUGACUGAAAAGCAGAGGGAACGCGAGCAUCCAAUCAUGUUUUAGUGCUAUCAAUCAAUAAACUGCAUUAACAGAAGCUCGUAUCUGCCCCAUCACGACGUUGUUUCAUUGGGAAGAGUAGCUUUACGACUACAGCUAGCCUUUAAAAGGAACGAGUAGCGCUUUUCAUUUUUUCUUUUUUUUUGAUAGUGAAAAUCUUAAAAAAAGGACCAGGUAGGCUGUGGCAAUUUUUGUAGGUGCUUGCUGGAAGAAUACGGGAGGCACCAGACUAGGCUGGCUACGACAAUUUUCGAGGCUCUGGCAAAGAAUCUCCAAUUGGAUUCUGAACGUACAAGAGCUUAUCUGUCGACAGCAACGGGACACCUACGAGUUCAUCGCUACCAUGCUGCUUCGAGGCAGAGCAGUUGCGAGCAUGGGGCAUAGAUGUCCACACUGACAGUUCUGUGCUUUCCAUUCUGCACGAAGAUGAAGUCGGUGGACUUCAAGUCUGCUCCAAUAAUCAGUGGUUCGACGUCAAGCCUCAAUUCGAUUCCCUGAUUGUGAACCUCGGCGACAUGAUGCAGGUGAUCCAUAAUCCUAUCCUGGCCUAUAUAAAUUGAAUCGAAUGAAUUUACUAGUAGUGAUUUUGUUUGGUCAUCAUUUUCAUCAUCAAUUCUUUCACUCAUCAAACUCCCACCGGUGAUGGUUUUUGUUCUUGUUUUUUUAAUAUAUUUAUAUAUAAAUAUUAUUAGGCCAUGAGCGAUGACAAUUAUAUUGGUGCCAAGCACAGAGUGAAGGUGAACAAGCACAAGGAAAGAAUCUCGGUGGGCUAUUUUGUGCUCCCAUACGAAGACACCGUUAUCGAAAGCUCCAAGUACAAGCCCUUCACUUAUGCUGAUUUUCGAGCUGAAGUGCAACGAGAUUUGAAGACCGUCGGAUUCAAGAUCGGCCUCCAGAAGUUCAAGCUCAGCGAGACGUUUUAGUCUUAGAGCACAUUCUGGAAGUGCCAGUCAAAAUCAAUCUUCUCUGUUCUCUGUUUUUGGUUGGAGACAGGUUGUUGGAUUGGCAUUUUUCGCGAUUCUAGCUACUUCUGUUUUGGUUUCAUUCUCUGUCGUGCUUUUUAGCUCUCGAUGCGGUCUGGAGAAGCUGCGGUUUGGAGAGAAUGUUCUCUUUUCCAAUUUGGUUGGUCAUCAUGGUUAGGUGUCGUAUCUGGCUUCCAAGAGCGGAGGAGGAGGAGAGAAUUUCUUAUCCACUCACUCUCUUAUAAAUUACUAGUAAGUACUAUUAUAUUAUUUCUCCUAUCUUUAACAAAAAAAAUAAUAAUAAUUGCUUUCUCCUCUUUAUUUCCUUCAAAUAAGUAAGCAUCUCUAAUCUUUCUCAUUGCAAGGUCCAUAAAAGUCGCGAUAUGUUAGCACUCUGCCGGCAGACUGAACUUGACAAUUUGGCAUAAUACUUGGAAUGUAAAAGAAAAGGACAAUCAUUGGAUCGGAGAAACCAAUGUUCAAUCAUUAACACAAUAUAAUAAAUAGCUUCAAAAAAAAAAAAUCAUUGACACCAUAUACGUUUGUAAACUCAUCGGGCAACUGAAUUAUGGGAUGCCUUGGCGAAACAGCUGCCGUAGCAAGGGCUAGAUGGGGGACGGACGGGGGAAGGGAAGGAAGCGGAGACGGGCGGAGGAGUAUAAACGGGGCGGCGGAUGGCUACUUUUUUUUUUUUUUUUUUUCUAGUUGCCAAAAAUUUUCGAAAAAAUUAUUGGUGCAAUGCAAACUCAAAAGACUCGUAGAUUUGGAUAUUAACAAGAAGAAAAGGAAAAGGAAUUUUUUUUUUUUUAAAAAAAAAGUAAGAUUAGGGACAAGAGAUUGCAUGUCACAAUUAUUGCUGUGGGUGCUUCAUUAGAAUAUUUUCAUGAUAGUGAUAGAGAUAUGGCGUCUUGGGAUUCUUCGUUACCAUCUUGAUAUGAUAAUAUGAUACGGUAUUUCGAGAUUCCAGAACUCAAAAGGAGAAUUAUUUGCUCCCUCCAGUCUGAUGGCAAUGACCAAAUUUGCUUUACUAUUUUCACGCAUAUGUAUGUAUAUAUUAUUGCUGUUUUGUUCCUAGAAGUAGAAGAAAGGUUGCCAAGGCCAGUUUCAGAAAUAAAUCCGCAUACUGUGCUUUUUAUAUCAAAGAAAGUGACGACAGGGUAGACUGUAGACUUCUGAUAAGGCCGGAAAUUAUACGCAUACUCAAAGUCGUUAUCUACCAUUGACACGCCUUUACUACAAAAGUGUCCCGAGUUUGAAUCACCAAGGCGGUGGUAAUUCGAGUUUCAAUACUGUUGCUCUUCUUUUAAAAAAAAAAAAAACUAAAUGAAAAAAUACAAAGAUUCUAAUUCAAGCCUUAAAGACUGUGAAAUCCGUUUUCCUGCAUGAUAUAUAUACAUACAUAUACAUAUAUUAAAACUUUUAGGAACACUGCUAGUAUUCUCGAUAUCUACUCAAAAGGGAACUAUUAUGUUAUUCUAAUUUGUCAAAACAUAUUUCUCAUUUCCACUAUAUUCGCUUCUAAUUUUUCAAAAACAGGAGAAUCAGUCUUCUAUUGGUGGAAAUGCCGAGCAACGCCAUUUGCAUGUCAUGCUUGAAGGCGGCGUUCCUUUUCUUUUUUUGGGGUUGGAAUCUCUGGUUUUUGAUCUUGUCCGUUAUGCAUUCUUACCGCCAUACGUUAUCAAUUAUUACUUUAAUAAUAAUAAUAAUACCGCAAAUGUGAUUAAGGACCCAUAUCUCAGCUUUCCUUUCUAAUGUAAAACUCCUUAAGAAUACUAGUACUACAUAUUAACUUUCCUUUUUUUUUUUUUGAGUGAAUGGAAAAAAUAUUCACCAAACUACCUAAUAUAGCAUUGUUUGGUCAUUGAACUUUUUUUUUUUCAACUAAAAAUGUCACUCAACUUCUUAAAACAUGUCUUUAGGUUAUAUCUUCCAAUUCAACCUGUAAACCAAUCAUAAAGAAUCGUAUUUGACCUUUUUUAUUUUACGUACAUCACAUCAUAAAAAAUGCUACAGUAAUUAUUUCAAAUAAUAUUCUAUCCAAACAACCCCUUUUAAUUUAUCUCAUGUUGCGUUCCAUGAUUUGCCUUUCCUUUUAUAUGUCUAUCUUUCCUACUCAUGUUCAUCCCUCUCAAUAUUAGAAAUAUUUACAGUAGAAAAUGACAUUUUAGAGUAGAUCGAAUGUAUUGUAUAAUUAAUAAUGCUCCUCUACCAUUCUUGAGGCAAAAAAGAAAAGAAACAAAUGGAAAUUAUGAGGAGUAUCUAACAUUUUCAUUACAGUCAUAUUACUUUUUUUUUUCUCAUUUCCUAGCUAGCAGGUUGUAUACAGCUCUGAUUGAAUAGGUUUUUUUUUUUUUUUAGGGUUUUUAGUUUUUAAAAAUAUUUCACUAUACCAUAUUCAUUUGGUAAUUUUAAAUGCGUAUUAGAGAUAUAAUUUUUUUGAAAACCUACAUGCCCUAGCAAACAGAACCCUGUAAUAUAAAUUUUAAAAACUCAUUAUCCAGAAGUUUUCCAAGUAAAUGGCAAUCCAAACCGAGCUUAUAUAAAUUAUAGUACUCCCUCCGUCCCGUUUUGUUAGUCUUGAUUUUUUUUUCACACAGAUUAAGAAAGUGUAAUUAAUUUGGUUGGAAACAUAAAUUUAGAUUAAUAAUUUCCUAAAAUACCCUUAUGCUAAUCACGAAGAGUGCCAAUUAAUAUCAGUUACAGCUAAUGAGUUAGUAUUGGAAAAGUUCAAUGUAUUCAAUGUAGUGGGUUAGUAUUUAAUAACAAUGUAUUAAUAACAAGAUAUUUAAUAAGGGUAUUUUAGACAAUUUGAAAGAUUGCUACAUUUCUUAAUGAGAAAGUGGACUACAAUUUGGGACAGACGAAAAAGGAAAACAAGACUAUCAAAGUGGGACGGGGGGAGUAGCAUUUUUUUAUGAGCUCUUAGUGAACACUUGUUUAUACACUUAAUUAUAUUUUUUGUAUAUUUAAUUACACAUAACGAACGUUAAAACUUGCAAGUUAAGAGUGCCCACUUAAGAAAAAUUGCUAAACUUUAAAAGAGAGAGAGGAGAGAGAAGCGCCCACGAAUCAAAGUAUUAAUUACUAUACAAUUUUGUGCAAGUGGAAUCGGACGGUCCAACAUUCUCCUGCAACGGUCACACACCUACGUUGAUCACCAUAAACCAUUCUUUUUUAUUUAUAAUAUUAUAUAAUAAUAAAAAUAGUCAUAGUUGUACACUUGGUUUUUCUGUUCUUUCUGUAUUUAAAUCCACUCAAUCCUCCUCACCUCAAGCUGGGACCCACACAAUCACACUUUUUCUAAAAGAUUUCCUUAUGUUAUAAUGCCCCCAAAUUGGAUACAAAUCAAACAAAGACAGAGAAAAAGAAAAAGAAAACACUUUGAUUAAUAGGGAAAAGAGAGAAGAAGGAAAACAGUCAUCUGCUAGACUGGUACUACUUACUUGGUAACCAAGUAUGGAAGAAGAAUAAUUAUCAAUUAUCGAUAAAAAAAUAGAAAAUAAAUAAAAAUAGCUGCCAAAAUCGAGCUUUUUGCGCGCACACACUUGUAUUGUAAACUACAUAAAUACAAGAAUCGGACGCAUUAUAAACUAGUACACUGCCAAGUAUUUCUUUGUAUUUAUGUAGAAGUGUAGAAGAACGAGCCCAAAACCCAAGCCCCACAAUUCCAACUUGCCCACACUAAAACCUGCGCUCUCCUCCAAGCUAAUCAUGGCGGCCCUCAACGAUGAAGCCGCUGCUAAGAAAAAGAGGAAAAGGAUUAACGGGAAAAAGAAGAUUCUCAUCCAUGAUAAAGUUGAGGUAAUGCUGUCAUGUUGUUUUUCUUUUUCUUUUUUUUCGUUGGUUAUCUGAUUGUGCAUCAUUGUUCAUGUGUUUGGGUAAUUUUAUUUAAUUUUUUUAAUGAAAAUUUUGAUUCUCGAAUGUGGGCUCUUGUCUUUUUACAAUUGGGUUUAGGAUGUUUUUGUUGUUUUUCAAUUCUUGAUGACGUUUACAAGAAUUGUCUCUCCGGGGCUUGAUUUUACUGGCAUUGUGUGGUUUUGGGGUAUUCCUGUUUAGUAAGCAUUUGGGAAGGCUAUGUUAAGGCACAGGGACCGGUUGCAUGUUGGCUUUUGUUUGUUGCGAAGUGAUCAUGUGGAUAUUCUGUUAACUGGAGAGCUCUAUGUGAGGUAAUCAAUAAUUUUCUUUCUUGAUUGAGCUUAAUUGCACAUGCAAUGCCUCAUCUUGACUCAAAAUUAAAAAGGGUUAAGAGUUAAGCACCUUUCAUCUAUUUUUCCCUUUUCUUUUUUUAAUAUUAGUUAGAGUAAUGCGCGCUUGUUUUUGUUUUUACCUUUUUUUGUCCCCCUUAGUGUGGGAAGUGAUUGAUUUUCGGUUGCAUGAGUGUCAAAAGUGCCUGCUUUGUUGUAUGGGAGCGUCUUCUGCAAUUUCACUGUCAUCGGGAGUCAGUGGUGUGUUUGACCUCGUAAUUGUGGUGCAGGUAAGGAGUACGGAAGAGGGGUUUCUGGGCUCUUGGCAUGCUGGAACUGUGGUUGGAUGUGGAGAAUUGCGUCGUCGCAUCAAGUAUGAUGAAAUCUUAAAUGAUGAUGGUUCUGAACGUUUGGUUGAAUGGGUAAAGGUGAGUCCUGCGCUGGAUGGGCUUGUUCGUGGGAAUCAAGCGACAAGCAAUUGUUGCCGUGGCAUAUAAGGCCAUUGCCCCCUUUUGAUUUCCAAAAGUGGUCUCUUCAUUAUGGACAGUGUGUCGACGUGUUUGUACAGGAUGCUGGUGGGAAGGUGUGAUUUUUGACCAUGAGGAUGGCUCCGAUCAGCGGAAAGUCUUCUUUCCGGAUAUGGGUGACGAAGUUAAGGCUCAAAUAGAGACGUUCCGCAUCACUCGGGAGUGGGAUGACAUUACUGAUGAAUGGAGACCUCGAGGCAAUUGGUUGCUUCUCGAAUUGAUUGAGGAAGUUGAGCUAGAGUGGCCUCUUCUUGUUUCAGUGAAGCAAAUUUGGUAUGAAAUACGAGUCAAAAUGGAAUUUGGCAAACUUAAGGAAUGGACGUCUUUAAGGGAUAUUUGGAGACAACUGCUGUUGCAAGUUCUAUCCACGAGUUAUAAGCUAACUGUGAAGCAAAUUUUUCAUGAACUAAACUCUUCAGAAACUCGACAGAGGAAGGCCAGCCAUUAUUUGAAUUCCUGCAAAUGCACUUGAUGCAAUUCUUGACCCCGAAAGCAUUUUUUUGACUAUGGCUAUUGUUCCCUAUGGAACUAAUUGCCAGUUGGAAACUCAUGCAGCGUGUCUGCUGAUUUGAACCCUUCCGAAGAGCAAAAUGCUCCCAAUGCUUUGGCUUGUAUCGGCUGGGUAGAAAUGGAUAACUCCACUCAUUCAAUGAAAAGACCAAUGAAUACCCUGUGUUCAGGCUCCUGCUUUUUCAGGGUUACUCCCAACCAGAUCACAGUCCUGAAGCUGGGUCAGGUGCAAAGAGUGGAAGGUGCCCUACGAGCUCCGACAAGCUGAAUGGGAAGCUGAAAGCUUCAGGCGAUAGAACAAAGUACAGUGGCUUCCUGCUGGAAUCGACAUGGUUCCAGCUGCAUGUUGCCCUGGUUCAGUAACUGAUUAUAUUCAGAAGCGUAAGUUGAACUUAAAUCUCGGGCUGCUUCAACGUUGGAAGUUAGGAUGCAUAUUUCAUACUUGGGCUGGAAAAUUCAGUUUGCAAGAGAUAAAGCAGUAACUCGAAUGCGAUACAUCUCCCCGAAGGUGAGAUUCACUAUUCACUCUAUCAGGUUUGUCUGAGAUUGCAACCUGGAUCAGAUGUUCCUUCCGGAUAUGCCAAGAUGAUGAAAGUAACAGUGAUUAUCCUGUAGAAAGCUCGUCUCAUCUUCAUUAACUGUGAUCCCAAAAGCAGACACUGGGGCACUGAAAGUGCUUUCUUGUUCUGAACCUGUUUAUUUUGAACGCGAUAAUUGUCCUGAAGCUGUGCUGAACUAUUCAAAUUGGGAGGGCAACUUAUCAUGGACAGAAUGGUGCAAAGGGUGGUAUUAUGGCUUUAAAGGCUAAAAGGCACCUAUCCUUUCUGGGUUGGAAGUUCUAUCUCGAACCAAAGGGGUUUAAGAAGGAGAUGAGGUAUGGAUCCCCAUGCGGUAAAAAAUUUUACUCUCUUCGAAGUGCCUGCCACUGGUGCGUAACUGAAGGAGAAUUCAUCUUAGUAAUGAUGCUUAUAACAGUAAACAAAUCAAGGAACUUUGCAAGCCAAGAAUGUGGAGUCCAGCUGACUUUGACAGAUCCAUCUCCUCCAUCAAAUGCUAUGGUAUCAGAAGGACAUGUGAAUGAUGAUCUGUCAAAACAGCUGCUAAUAGAGUCAUCUUCAAAAACAUCACAGCCAAAGCAACUUGCUCAACAAGGUCAAGUCAAAUGUCAUGGAAUUAGAGGACCAGAAAGGAAGAGAAACCAUUGCUUGCUACAACAAUCCUUGGCUGCUCUUCACACAGGCCCCCAAAAUGAGGACUCAUAUUUGCUUGAUGAUGUUAAAGAAUCUCAGGCUUCAGCCAAACAAAGAGAUGAUGUGAAUGCAGAAAUGUCUUCCUGUGUGUUGCGAUCAAGUAAAGGGCUCGGCAAUCAGUUGUUUCUCCUUCAAUUCACCAGACUCCUAGGACUACCUUGUCUUGGUUGAUCGAUAAUAAUGUAGUUUUACCAAGAGCAAAAGUGCAUUACCGAGGGAAAAAGGAUGGCCGCGUCAUGAAAGAAGGAAAAAUAACCCGUGAAGGAAUCAAUGCACUUGCUGCCAAAAAGUUUUUACUCUCAGCAAGUUUGAGGCGCAUGCUGGCAGCAAUUAUCAUAGACCUUCAGCAAAUAUAUUUUUGGAGGAUGGUAGGUCAAUAUUUCAGUGCCUGUUGAAACUAAAAGGUGAGACGAAUAAAAGAAAAAUAAGGUCAGAACCUCAUGAAAUGAAGGGUCAUACGUCUUCACAAUGACCAUAUUUGUUCUGUCUGUCACUAUGGUGGCGAAUUGGUCUUAUGUGAUCAGUGUCCAUCAUCCUUUCAUACAAUUUGCCUGGGUUUAAAGGUAUGCUUCUCAAGACCUGUUAUACUUUAUCUCUGUCUUUAUCACCUUAUAGCAAGUACUUGGAAUUGUUAAUAACAUCACUAAGCAGGAGGUUCCGAUGGCGAUUGGUUCUGCCCAUCCUGCUGUUGUGGAAUUUGUGGCCUGAGCCGAUUGAAUGAAGACACAGGACGACCUGUAGAUGACAGGCUUAUCAACUGUGGUCAGUGUGAACAUCAGUGUAAGUUGCUUAUGUCUUAAUUUUAUGUUUGACAAUUAUAAUGCCUCUUCAAUCAUCUUUAUGCUCAUCUGUAUUAGCAAUUAUCUCAACUUUUUACUGAUAAUCUAUCAAUUUAAUGCCAGAUCAUAUAGAGUGCUUAAAAAAGAAGGGUCUUGUUAAGCAUGACUGUCAUCCGGAAAGGAAUUGGUUUUGCAAUGAAAAAUGUGAACAGGUACUUGGACCCUGACUUUCUCUAUACUGCAUUUAUCCUAGGGAUUGUCUAAUAAGGUGGCCCUGGGACACUCAUUAUUUAGAGGCGCAAGUGUCAGUUCUCUGGAGAGAUGAAGUUGGAUCAGGAAAGUUACUAAAAGCAAGGGGUUUUAAAUAAUUAUGAGUGUGCACAUUUUAUGCUUUUCUGGCAUGUGUAUGUGCUUUAAGUACUUACCCUUUCAUCAUGUACAGGAAAUAGAUCAUCCCUGCCAUCCCUUAUGUAGUAUCCCACAACUUAUCUGUCAAGUCUUUGGAGUGUUAAAGAAAAUCUAGCACAAGUGUCUACAUUGGGUGCAUGUUCUCCUCUAUGGUCUAGUCUUGCAAGUUCAAUGUGUUUACAUUUGUCUUUUGUCAUAAUGCACAGAUACAUCUGAGUCUCCACAAUCUCCUAGGAAAACCAAUUCCCGUGGGGCAUGAUAAUCUUACUUGGACAUUGUUAAGUACAAAAAUGCUGAAGAUUCUGAUCAGAGAAGUUUGGAUAAUGAGCAUUUGAUGGAAAGCUAUAGCAAGCUUAAUAUUGCUCUCAGUGUAAUGCAUGAGUGUUUGAACCCAUGAAAGAGCCUCGCACCAAAAGGGAUCUUGUGGAAGAUGUUAUAUUUAGCAGAUGGUAAGAGCCUGUUUCUUUCAAUAUAUAAUUUUUAUAUUUCUGCUUUAUGGUUUUACCCUUCUUUUGGUAUGUAUGUGGGUCUGUGUGCAUGUGUGCGCUUCUACUUCCUUGGGAAUUGGUUUUGCUGGCUAUAGGACUUAUGAUUUUUCUCUUGUACUGUAGGUCAGAGUUGAACCGUUUAAAUUUUCAGGGGUUCUAUACUGUGGUAUUAGAAAGAGAUGAUGACUUGAUUACUGUGGCUACUGUAAGGUAUGAUUACAUUUUUGCUUUAACUUGCAUAUUUUACUUGGCUUGAAUAAUCUUCCUGAAAUUCUGUUUUUCUUUCUUAUUUUAAGGGUCUAUGGGGAGAAAGUUGCUGAGAUCCCCCUUGUUGCCACACGUUUUCAAUAUCGCCGCCUUGGAAUGUGCCGUAUUAUGAUGAAUGAGCUUGAAAAGGUAUCUGUAUUUAACCCACUGGGGAGUUUAACAUCAACGUAAUUGGUUGCUUUUUUGGAAUUUGCUGAAUGGUGGCAUCAUUUGUAUUCUAGAUUGCUUCUCUGUUUAUAAUAUCUGUUUGUCCUCAUGGUUGCCAGAAACUCAUCGAAUUAGGAGUUCAGAGGCUGGUUUUGCCUGCUGUGCCUAGUGUGCUAAGCACUUGGGAAACCUCAUUUGGGUUCUCAAGGAUUACUGAAUCUGAGAGAUUAAACUUUCUGGACUGCACUUUCCUUGAUUUCCAGGGGAGUCACAUGUGCCAAAAACUAUUGAAGAACACCCAGUGUACAGAACUUAGCCAAUUAACAGCAAGCUUGGUGAUCUUGUUAAUUCAACGGGCAGAAAAUUGACUUAAUCACUAAUUUGAUAUCAUUUUUGUAGGAGUGCAGCAAAAGCUGUCCCCUCAUUCUGGUGAAAAAGACAAUGACUUGGAAGCCAGGGGUGCUGCUUCUGAGGUACUUCAAGCAGAGCAAGUUGAGGAUAUUGAAGUGGUGGAUCAAGGAGCUGCAGAGUACGUAGAUUUUCUCUUUUCCUAUGAAUUUGGGUAAUAGUAUAAUUAAUAGCUAAAAUGCAUUUUAGUUAGUGGCAGCUACUCAAAAUACUAGUCCCCAAAAAAAAAAAAAAUUUGCUUUCUUUGAUAUGCUGCUGCAAAUUUGAAGAUCUCUAUCCAUUAAUAACCAAGGAUCUGGCAAGGUGCAUGUUCAGCCUCAGGAGCACGUAGAUGUAAAUUUUGGCAAGACUAGUUGGGCUAUUUCCAAAGUGAAGGGUGCAUGGGAAUUGGGAUGCGUGAAUUGAUUCCAUGUUUCUAAAAUUGUUUAUUCAAUGGAAUACAAUCAGUCCAAGCUAAGUAAAUCUCCAUCAGGUGUCUUCAUUAGUUCAUAUUGCAUAAAAGUGUUUAGUUUUCAAUUUGUCAAAUUCAUAGCUAGAUAUGCACAUUCUAUUUGAAUCUCUUUUGUUUUGCAGUCUUCUGAGAGAAAUUGGCAGCAACAAUAGCAGUGUUGUCACUCCUUCAGUUAUUGUGGUAACUUCUCGUCAUUUAACUUAUCUCUUAAUCUGUCCCUAAUAAGAUUUUCCUGCUUUAGUAAUUGCCUGAUUUAUAUAUGCAAGCAGGUGAACCAACCACCUGAACCAGUGAACCAGCCACCUGAACUUGUGAACCAGCUGGCUGAACCGGUGAACCAAUCGCCUCUCUUUAAUUUCUUGUCAUGCCAGAAUGAAAUUAAUCUGGGGUACUCGGUGGGAGCAAGUGGUCAAAGAAAUCACAUUUUCAAGUGCUACAAACGGAGAAGAUUAGCUACUUGUGGAAGUUAAACUGCCUUCUACGAUAAGAGCAAAUAUAAGUUCAGUUGUCAUAGAGCCAAGAGAAAUCUUGUGAGCCUGUUUUUUGACUCUUGAUGGGCUUCAAAUUUUUGUGUAGAAUGUGCAGUCUCCUCUGUAAAUGGUAAAGUAGAAAGGAGUCGCAAGAACUUCAAGUCUCAGGCUCUUGUUAAUUCAUGUAUAUUCCAGUAGUUCAACUCUGUAGAUCCCUCGAAGCUCAUUUUGGUUCUGGAAGUUAUCAUGGGUAGAAAACUAGAAACUACAAACUAAGCCGAAGAAGCAAUGGAAUACGGCCCUAUUUAUCUCACAUCAUAAAAUGGCAGCUCUCUACAAGAAACGUCCUAAGGCGAUAAGCCUAUAACGUUUCUUUGGUAUCGAAGCAAGUAGAUGUCCCUCAAGUCUUUGCUAACUGGCCAGAGAACUUUCGAUUGUAUAUUUGUGUAGAUCUUUUGAUUUGCUUUUGCAGUUUAAAGCAAGCCUCAGAAACAGAAAAGAUGGAAAAGUCAUGACUGCAAGUGAUAAAAAGAGGCCAUGGAAUUUAGGCCAAUUAAAAUUUUAUCAACUAAUCCAACCUCAACUUCGUGAAGGAGUAUUUGUCGCAAGUUUAGAUUUUUACGACUUCAUCAUCCUGAACCCCCUAAAUCAAAAGUGAAACAACUUUCAAUGAUCCCUGAUCUUAAUAUAUGCUCAUGAAUCUUUAGUUGGUGCUUUUUAUUAAAAUUUGGAAAAGAAUAUUAGACACAGCCGAUUGGAAACCAAUGUCAAUAUGUGCAUCAUUGUUCAAUUUUUUUUUUUUUUGGGGGCAGUCCAAUAUCAAUAUGUGCAUCAUUGUUCGAUUUUUGGGUACAUUCCAAGGAUUCCAUGUUUCACAUUUGAGUGUCUGCACUCUGCAGGCAUCGCCAGAAUGGAAGUGGUUCAUGAUGAAUCAACAUCCAACACUUUUAAUCAGUAUGGUUUGGUGGCCCAAGUAGGAUUAUGCUGCCACCAUGGUCUACAAGGAGAAGCAACGUAAAGUGGUCUUUCCAUUUGUACAGUAGGCAGCAUUGAACGUUUCCCUCGACGGGCAGGCAGGUUUGAUACUCGACUUUUCUUCAUCAUCCAAGUAUUCCAUUAUCUCUUGCUUCCACCGGAGUUCAAGAAAUGGAAGGGAAUCAGUUUUAGAGGCGCGGCUCCCUCCAAAGCACAACACAGCAUACUGCCAGUUGGGAGUAAGGGGUGACCUUUGGUCCUCAACCACUCUUGUCCCUUGGCUUUUUCGGGCUGCUAGCCUCUUGUGUCUGCCCUCUCGUAAAUAAGUGCACUCCUAAGAACGGUGCUCAACUUGUUUGGCCCCAUAAACACGCUGGCUUCGCCUCUCAUAGCAAUUAAGCACUCCCUUUCAAUUUCCCUACUUUCAUUUCAUGGUUGGUUGCCAUUCCUCUUCAAGAAUGUUGCCUACCUAUAUAUGCAGAAGAUGAAUUUUAUUAUCCAAAGGGAAUUAGGAGCACUAAAUAAAAUACUUAAAAACUACAAGCAUGACUGCUCAUGCACUGCUGUGCGGAUCCCACGAUCAACAGAUGCCUGUCACAGGGUCACGGGCCCAGGAAAAGGAAAGCCAUAGGGAUUAUUAGUACAUCCAAAUGAAUUAAUCCCAUAAAAGGAAGCAAUCAAAGCCAGAAAUGUAUAAUCCCAGUUCAUAAGAUCACGAUAGGCGGCUAAUGUCCGUCUUAAAUUAAAAUUAGAGAUGCAUAAUCAGAGUUAAUUGUUCUUUAAAUCGUGUUGUCUGCAAAUGGUCCUCCGGGGUCACUUCUGCAUUAGUGGCAGAAUGCCACUGUUAAUGUUAUGACCAGGGGCACCAAUCACCAGCGAUUAAUCUGCAUAUUUAAAGCACGUGAGCCAUCUUAUCUAUCCAUCACAUGCAGAAUGCAGACUGCUAGCGAACAAAAAUACCACCCAACCCCCGCCCCUUUUUAUAUUGAAACAUUUCUGGAAAACAACACCAGUAAAAAGUACCCCCAACUCCCUCCAAAACUUCCCUCCUCAUUCUCUCCCACUGUUUCUUCACUUCUUCUUUAGUAAGCAGUACUUACAAAGACUUCCUAUCUUUCUAGCUAAAGCUUUCUGCCAUGGCUCUUCUGUACUCAAAAUCUGCUUCAUUUUUGGCUUGUAUCUUCUGCUUCACUACAAUUCUAUGCCUAAACCUGCUGCAAUUUGACAGUGCCUCGGCAGUCUUGUUAGUGGGUUUGAGGAAUCAGCACAGUCACCCUCACCAUAGAAGGCCAAUGCUCCAAGCCAACCAGAGCUCAUGCUCCUUGUUUGUGGGCUCCUGGGUUCGUGAUGAUACUUAUCCUUUUUAUCCAUCUUCUUGUCCCAUCAUCGAUCCUGAAUUCAACUGUCAAGCGUAUGGCCGACCCGACUCUGAUUAUCUCAAAUAUCGUUGGAAACCAGCCAACUGUGAUCCUCCCAGGUACUAACAAUCAUACUUCUAGUUCACUGUGAUUAAAAAAGUUACUGUCUUGAUAAUAUUCUCGUCAUGUUGUAUUACUGUUUCCGAAUUCAUUCCUUGUGUUGUUGGUGUAUUCCCUGAAAUAGAAGUAACCUUUGUUCUAACCGGUGCUAGGUUCAACGGGCUGGAAUUUCUGAUAAAAAUGAAAGGGAAGACUGUGAUGUUUGUGGGCGAUUCACUGGGACGCAACCAAUGGCAAUCUCUAAUUUGCAUGAUUUCAGCUGGGGUCCCAAGUUCCCCAACUCAAUAUCAGAGGGCGACCCUCUGUCAACCUUCAAAUUCUCGGUAAGCCCAUCCAUAAUGGUUCAAAAAAAAUAUCUUCUUUUUUUUUUUUUUCUUUUAUCCAAGCAAUAAUUGCGAUUCAGUUUCUGUUGUGGGGUCUUUGUGAAAGAAACAGAGCUUCGAGACUGGUAACUAAAAUGGGCUCGCUCUGUUUGCAGGAGUAUGGUGUGUCCGUGUCGUUUUACAGAGCACCAUAUUUGGUGGACAUAGAUACGAUGCAAGGCAAGAGAGUGCUGAGAUUGGAUGACAUAAGAGGAAAUGGUAAUGCGUGGAGGGGAGUGGAUGUGCUGUCAUUUAACACAGGUCACUGGUGGUCUCACAGAGGAGCUCUUCAAGGGUCAGAACAUUUGAUACUUAAUAAUUACUAGUGUUUGGAAUUAAUGCCUUUCCCUUUCAAGAAUAAACAAAAUUUGAAUUGGUCUGUUUCUUCUUUCUGCAUUUUUAAGACCAAUAAUAAAUGAGGACGAUAAUGAUGAUGGCUGUUUGCAAUUGGGAAAUGAUUCUGUAUAGGUGGGACUAUAUGGAGUCAGGUGGAAGCUUGUAUCGAGACAUGGAUCGCUUGGCUGCAUUGGAGCAAGGUCUGAGAACGUGGGCCAGAUGGGUUGACGCAAUAUUGAUGCUAGCAGUACCAGGGUCUUCUUUCAGAGUAUCUCGCCUACGCAUUACAAGUAUGUUUUUCCCUUCUUUGUACUAGUAAUUAUUUGUUCGACGACAGCCAGCUUGAUUGCAACAACUCUUUUUCUUAUUAUGGGUACUGAAUUCAAAGGCAAGAGUUAGUAGUGUUAAAAGAGUCCAGACUGCUGUUUCAUUGCCAUCGGGUGCCUCGUGAAUCUGAUAGCUGUAAUCACUAACUGUUACUUUUGCGGUGCAAGUUGGACUUGUAGGAAUUGAAGCUGAAUUAUUGGGCACUGGGACCUUACCGUCCUUUAGGCCUUUUCCAACCUUGACCAAUACUUCAGUCGAAAGUUCCUUUCCCAUGCAUCUGUCAAAGUCUUAACCGUUGGGCCAAAGUUUAAAGUUAAAUUGUAGUAAUGAUUUAAGUUCACCUAAUGAAGUCUGUGGUAAAUUAACUUGUGCUUUAGUCUAAUAGUAGAAUACAGUCCUUGACAUCAAAAGACUGUAACCAUGUCAUUUUUAGCUUUUGAUUGGUCUUGUUUUGCGAAUAUGGAGCUGAAUCAGUAGUGUUUGUAGUUUCACUUUGUAAGUACAUCGAAUCAUCGAUGCUGGCACAUUUCUUGUUAACAAAAAUGUUCACAUGUCUAUGUCGAAAUCCUUGUGGUUGUGAUUCGUGAAGUUGUCGGUUGUCGAUGAUGAAGGGUGGCUUGUUUUUCUGUUCCUUUCCGCCUGUGAGCAAUAGUAGUGGAGCAUGUAAUGUAAUGGUAUUAAAUAUUUAGGCAAAUCCAGCUAUAUGUGAGGUCAUGCCAAUUGCUACUUGCUGCAUUUUUUAUAUAUGUGUAUAUAUAUUUUCCACUCGAGUCACUAAGCUGAAAAAAGGUAAUGUGUAGAACUACUUUUCAGGUGCUUCAUAUGUAAGACCAACCUCACCUUGUUAGUGGCCCUUUUUUGUUUUGUUUUCUUUUUUUUUAACGAAGCUCACAACCCAGAAGCUCACAACCCAAAUCCUUCUAAAUUUAGCAUUGUGGAUGUAUAAAUGCGCUUUUAGGACGAUAUGCCUGAUUUGACUUUCUUUGAGAUCAAUAGAUAUAAUUGAAAAUGCCAGCUGAUUAGAUAUAAGUAAUGUAGCAUACACAAAACACUAAUGAAAGUGUCCCAUGGAAUUAUUCGGUCCUUUUCCGCCGAUACAAUAAAUAGAAAUUGGGACAUACGUUAAUAUAGAUGGAAUUCAGGUGUUAAUAUUUAAGAAAAGUCAAAUUAAGUGGGGAAAUUCUAUGGUGUGAAAUAGGGUAAUGAUUGUCGGUUUGUGCAUUGACAUAAUAGGUUGGGUGUGAUUUGGGCGUACUAGCAAGAACUAGAGCGCUUGUUAGAAAAAACCGCGAAUACUUUUGCAUCCAAAAUUAACAGAAUGAUGUGAAUUUUUUUGCCGAAAAAAUGAUAAUAAUGAAAUCACUGAAUCGGUUGACUGGAUGUGGACAGAAAAUUUCACUCACUGAAAUUGCUGGUGCCACAGUUCAACAAACUGGGUAUAACUUGGCUUGGAAUAGUGCUGUGGAGUGUACUUGAACCACUUUCGUAGGGAAGGAAGCUCUUGGGAAAAUGUGUGUACGUCUUGGGAUGACUUCUUUUUUUCCCAGAUUCUCGUGAAUAGUGGUAAAAUCUGUAAAUUUAGUUCCUUGUCAUGCAGUUAAUUCAAGGUAAUGCAACUAGAUUGGUUGAUACAAGUGUCGUCACUUUCUUCAUAGCUGUUCUUCAUGUGGGUCGCGGUACAUAGAAGAAAAUCUGGUAGCUAGUACUGAUUGUUGAGUAUUUAUGGUGGCAGCCCCAGUGAGUGGAGCACUGGUUCAGCAACAGCAGCCAAGAGUUGUUAUGGUGAAACAUCCCCAAUGACAGGGACAACCUAUCCAGGAACCUACCCGGAUCAAAUGACUGUUAUAAAGACAGUGAUGAGGACAUGAACUACCCUCCAUUUUUGCUUGAUAUUACUUUGCUCUCAGCAAUGAGGAAAGACGCUCACCCUUCCAUUUACAGUGGUGAUCUCACCCCGAGCAGAAAGCCAAUCCUGACCAUUCUGCUGAUUGUAGCCAUUGGUGCCUGCCUGGCUUGCCUGAUACUUGGAAUCAACUAUUCUACACUGCCAUGUUCUUCUAAACUCAUUUUAGGCCUUUCUGUUCUCCCUUUCCGUUCGGAUUUCAUUUUUUUUUUCUUUUUCAGUUGCCUUUCUCUGUAGGUGUUGAUGCAAUAUUAUACCCAGGAAAGCUGAGGCUAAGAAAUCUCCUCUCCUGCUUGUAACAUACAGUGCAUUUAGUUAGGUGGUUGGACUGAAAGGAUAUGACCAUAUAUUUAAUGAUUCUGUAUAUUUAAAAACAAGUCUUACUUCUGCAGCAGAACGAAUGUAGAAAGUGUGUUGAAUUUCAUAUGACUGGCAUGGUAGCCCAAUAUGAAUCUGGAUUAUCCUGGAUGCCGACUUCUUAGUGAUCAUUGCCUGCAUAAAGGAGGCAUUCAUCAUCGAGGAGCCCAUCAUCAAAACACCAAUCCAUCAACGUUUUAGCUUCGUGUGUGAUUGUACUCUUCACGUGGUUGAGCUGCUUUUACAGAGGAUAUGGUGGAUGUUACCCAUCCUUGCAACAUUACUACGUACCAUGAUGGCUUCGGCCUCCAUUUGGAAUAAAGAAAAGGCAGCAGUCCCUCAGGAUGCAUGAAAUGAUUGAAAGAGAGUUGCAAAGGUGAAUGAAACACCAAGAAACAUGAAUAUGACAUACUCCUCCCAUUCGCUCCAAGAAUACUCUAUUUGCUUUUCCUUUUUGUUACAUGUACCUCUUCAUUGCUCUCUGCACUGCUGUUUACUUUUCAGUUAAUUUGAAUGUGCACAGAGGAAGAAGUAAGAUUAGAUGCAGUUGAUAAAUUCAGCGCUGAGAGCCUCAUGAAAGUCAUUCCACAUUCUUUAUAUUCUUUCUACUCUGGCUAUGGAAGCUCCAUCAAUUCAGUGGCCAUUAUACCUUCAGUUCCUGUUUUGAAGUUUGAAAAACACCACCUUAAUCUGCGAUCAACUUUUCAACUUCAUACAUUUCCAAACCCGUUAAUGAGCUGGUUUCUGUAUUCAAAAUUUAACAUUGAACAGAUUUUGUAAAACUGCUUUAUAUGCUCAUUAAAUCUGCAGUGAAUUUAUUUUCACUGUCCAUUCAUCUGCAUAAGGUAAUUUCAAAAUCAAAAGAACAUGAAGAGAGGCUUGUAUUAUUCCAAAGUAGUACUCGUUAGAAAACGAUGAUACUCUUGAAAAAGCACUCGAGCAACAUAAAAAUGUUGUGCCGAAUUCAUUUAUUACUCCUGGAAGGAUGGAGUGAAGUCCAAGUUCGAUAGACUUGAACCAGCCACUAUCUGAGAUACAAUACAAGCAUAAGGAGCUCUUCUUUUCCACGCUUAUAUUUUGCUCCCUCCCCUUUUGUACUAGACCGUACUUUUCAUUUUGAAAUGUCCUAAAAUGCUUGUCAUUUUACUAAGUCAAAGUUAUUUUUUAUCUCUUUUUUCAAUGUUAUUCCCACCUUUAUUUAUAUCUAAUACUAAAUUCAAAUUUAAAAUUUAAAAUUUUGAGGAUAUUUUGAAAAUAAAUCCGCUAACAUCACUAUAAAUUCACUAUUUUUAAAAAGUUAAAAUUUCGAAAUCCUUCGUAGGGAGUACUACUUUCUCUAGCCUCAUUAGGUUGAGUUGUGCGGGAGGGGGAGGAGGGAGUUGCACACUACUUUCCUGCGUUUGAAUGUCUACAAUAAUGUAGAACAAAGUACAAACAAAAUGGGGAAAAAAAAAAAAAGAAAAGAAAAGUAGAAGUACUUGGUGCGGGUAGCCAAAACAGAAGAAAUAGAUUACAAAACAUUAGGUUACAACACAAAACUUGCUGCUUGAACCAUCGCACCACAGCUCCGUGCACAACUUAAAAGCUAUCCCCUAAACUGUUGCGCCACAGUACUGUAUCAAGAUUUUCAUAGUGCCAAAUGGCUUUAUUCAACUUUACAAUCCUAAUAGUAAUAGUAACUUCUUUCAUACAGCAGGGCACUAAAAACUCAUCCUGCAUAUUCUAACACGACCACAAACAAGCAGUUAUAUUCUUAUUCAAAGUGUUAGCUCUGGAUUGUGAGCUCCUUUGCGGGUAUUCCAACCAUGCGUGGAACGUCGUCAAUCAUCGUAGGUGCCAAAUUUCCAUU
rnacentral:lncRNA from 1 species